rnacentral:lncRNA from 1 species
ACGUCCGACCCGAUGCUUUUUUACUUGUGGGACACCCUUUCGGUAAAAAGCUUUUCGGUGAACAUAACAUGAUUUAUAUGUUCGGACAGGAUCACAAAGAUCUUCGCCGUCAAAUCGCUCCUAACUUCACUCCUAGGGCUCUCUCUACCUACACUGCAUUGCAACAGAUUAUCAUUCUCCAACACUUACAGCUUGUUUGGUUUGGUGUAUUGGCUAAGCCAAUACACCCCUAAUCGGUGGGCCCCAUUUAAUCCCACUUCAAUCCUCUGUUUGGUUCAGGGUAUUGGCUAAUACCCGUCUAUUACAUUACACCCCUAAUCCCCAAAAUUCACCGAUUUCUAUUACGUUCCUCUUUCUCAGAUUAGGUGCUGCUUGAGUUUUAGACCCUGUUUUACCCUCCUGCUUCCCCUUUCCGUCUUCUGUUUCUUCCUUCUGUCUUUCUUUUGCUGAAGAUUACAAUAGAAUCGACGCUUGGCCUUCUCAACCUUUUAUUUUCGGAGUUUACUGCAACUGGAAAGGUAAAUUCAUAUUUCUAACUCUCUUUUGCUCUCAAAUUUAUAUGGAUUCCUGUAUUUUAAUUAGCUUAAGUUCCGAGUAGAUUUCUAUUUCUUAAAGGUUUUUGUUGCUGGUGGAAAUUGGAACUCGAUUGCAAUGUAAAUUGUCUCGUUUUCUCUGUUUUAAUUAGCAAUGUAAAUUGCUUCAAAACCCAAGACUGAAAAACCAGCUACUCCUCGAACUACCACUCGACCCUCUGGGAUUUUUAAACUUACCCCUGCUUCUCCUACUUUGGCUCGAUUCCUUGGAGCCCCAGAGGCUUCCCGUUCAGAUGCUGUUAAGCAUAUCUGGAGCUAUAUCAAAUCCCAUAACCUUCAGGUUCUCUCCAUCUCUAUUGCGUCCUAUAUAAAGUUAUAUUGUUUGGUCUAAAUAAAUGUGGGCUUCAGUAAAUAUCUGGGAAAAUGUUGUUCAAUUUUGGUAGUUAAUUUGUACCAUUUAUUAAUGGUUCUUGUUGCGAGUUGUUUGCUUGAUGGCUUUAUGAGGUUUCUUUACCCUUUCCAUGGGCAUUUGUUCCCUCUAUAAUAUUUUUUUUGUGCUUGUUAAUGCUGGGGUUUGGACCUGUUUGGUGUUUAUUGUUCAAGAGUAGUUAAGCUAGCAGCUGUAGUAGGAUUAGUUCAUUAGGUAAAUAGUUCUCUGUGAUUGGAUUCAAUAAUUCAAUUAUAUCAUCAAUCAGUUCCGAGUGAAAUGUUUGCCGGAUUCUGUUUGUUCUAAAUUCAUUCCACAUUAUGUAUGUUUGAUCUAAAUUGUUAACCACUAUGGUCAAUAAUUGAUAAACAGGUUUUUUGUGAAGAAUUUGAACAGAGUUGUGUAUGCUUUUCAUUGCAGUUUCCUUUGUGGUAUUUGAGACUAGAUUGUUUUCACAUGAGCUAUUGGCAAUUUCGACUACACAGUCCGAUCUUAUCGCCUCACUCGUUAGUUUAUUUACUUGAAUAUAGUUAUGAAACUGCAAUGGUUGUUUGCUGUUAGGGGAGAUUGAUGAUGUGCUGGAUAUGUGAUUUCAGUUUGGUAUGAUCAUUGACUCUUUUGCUUUUUUUGAAAUUGACACUGGCUCCUCUAUUAGUAAUCAGAUUGUAUUUUGUUUCUUUUACUAAAAAUAGGUAAAUUAAUAUUUGUACAUUACAUCAAAGAGCAAACUGGUCAUUCUUAGUCUUCAUACCUUAGUAUGAGGUAGAUGCCACGUGUCACAUUAUUCUAUUAGUUAUGCUAGUUUUUAAGAGUACAAAUGAAUGAAAUUUUUAAUAGAAAGGAUUAAUUUGUUCUUUGAUCUAAUGGACAAUGAAUAAUUUAAAAUACAAUUUGAUUCCUAUUGCAGGGCCUCCUUAUACUUUUACCGCCAUUUGGAUGUGCUUCAUUUGGCUGGUGAUCUAUUCCCCUCUACCCCAUAUUUGUCUUUGCUUUCAUCUGUCAUUGGGACAUUUGCUAUUUUUCUUCAUUCAUUCUUCAUCUCAAGUUGUGUUGCUCCUAAACUCUUCAGUACUCGAUUCAACAAUCUCAAAAUCAAUAUAUACCCCAAGACUUGUUCUACUUGUAUGAACCUACAAGUUCCACAGAAAGAUCAUUCUCGCCAAAAUCAUGAAAAAUCAACAAUGCUAAAUACCAUGUUUGCUAUUCAUUUCUUUAGUCAAUUCAUUCGCACAAAUGACAUCUUAAAGAAUCCAUCUUGGAAAAUAUCUGGGAAAAUGUUGUUCAAUUUUGGUAGUUAAUUUGUACCAUUUAUUAAUGGUUCUUGUUGCGAGUUGUUUGCUUGAUGGCUUUAUGAGGUUUCUUUACCCUUUCCAUGGGCAUUUGUUCCCUCUAUAAUAUAUUUUUUUGUGCUUGUUAAUGCUGGGGUUUGGACCUGUUUGGUGUUUAUUGUUCAAGAGUAGUUAAGCUAGCAACUGUAGUAGGAUUAAAUUUUAUGAAUAUUCAUUUGCUACAGUUAGUUUCAUUGAUGGAGAUUGGAUUGUUAUGGUUCAUAAAUAUAAGUUUAGCCUUUUCACAGUUUUAUAUAUAGCUUACAUGCUAGCUCGCUGUUUCAUUUUCCUACUAGCAGGUUUUUGUGGUGUUUUAGUUCUCUUCUUUCUAGAUUUCUACCUCCUAAGCAACAUUUUCACCCUCUACUUCCUUUCUAUCCUUUAAUGCUUGCUCAAUUAUGGUUGUUUUGAAAUAUAAAACUAGUCACUUUUAUCUCAGGAAGACAAACAAACAACAAAAUUAGUCAAAAAUAACCUGCCUAAUCACAUGAACCCUCUGAAGUCUGAACAAAAAAUAAAACCACUACUGAACUGCACAUGAUAUCUCACUUUAAAAUUUUCGUUUUCUACAACUUUAUAAGCAUCAAGAUUGGGAGAAAGAAACCAAAACAUAAAACAACUUUGUUUCACUAAAUGAACAAGGAUUCCUAACAUUUUAACAUAGCCAUGAAAUCAAACACUAGCCCAUCACUAGCUGUUCUUACUCUUCUUCUGUUACUUUCUUUAUUUCUAUCUCCUGGGGUUAAUACAACUUUUUAGUUCCAUUAUUUGCUCACCUAUUCCUUGUCUCGUUGAAGCAGUCCCCUAAAACUGGGGUUUGAUUGAAAAUUAGCAUAUGUGAUCUCUUAUACUUUACCAGGAAAUAUAGGUGCCUAUCUAAUUCAUGUGUGAUUGAUUUUAAUACUAGUCGAAUUCUUAGAAGUGUAAAUUAUUUUGUAUAUUAGCACAGUUGUUAAAUUUCUUGCGCCUAGUGUAUCUGACCACUGUUGUUCCAGUAAAUUGAUGUUCUAUGUGAAAUUUUGUAGGUAUUGGACUGUUAGCUACCGAUUUGCUCCAGACAAAAAUCGUUGGCAAGCUGAAGCUGUAGUUGCAAUUGAAGAGGUUUAGGGACAAUUUGAGUUUGAAUUGAUUUGUUGAUGUUAUUUUAUGUAUCUAGUUUAUUAAACUUUGGUAGUCUUUGAUUACAAUUCUGUAUUGUACUAAACUUUGUUGAAUUAUAAUUUAAUUAUCUUUUCAUUCAGCAUGUGUUAUAAAUUUAAAUUUAGUAUUGAACUACCGAUAUAAUAUAUAUAAACUGUUCACCUUUUGAUUCAUGAUAUUCAAAAUAGUAAAUAAUGUGUAUUUGUUUUUUUUUCUUAAGAACAAUAUGUCAGGUGUUCCACCAACGGGUGCUUCUUCUCAAGCUUCUCGAGGAAGCAAAAGAAAAUGGGUUCCAGAAGAGGAUGCAGCCUUGGUUUCUUGCAUGGUAGAUUUGCACAAUGUAGGAACAUUUAAUGCUGAUACCGGGUUCAAAGCCGGUUAUUUGAACGAGCUAGAGAAAAUGCUAGAAAAGGCUUUACCAAGAGCAAUGUUGAAGGCGAGACCAAAUAUUGAAUCUCGGAUUAGGUGCCUAAAAAGGGAAUGGUCAGUCGUCUACGACAUGCUUAAUGGUCAGAACAACAGCGGUUUUGGUUGGGACGAGCAUAGGCAGCUCGUUGUUGCUGAAGAUGCUGUUUGGGAAUCCUAUGUUAAGGUAAAAUGUAUUUCAAGUCUUAAUUUGUUUUUUUACAGAACACAUGGACUAAUAUGAUUUCCUCGUUUUUUUUAGAGUCACAAAGAAGCCUCUCAGUUCAGACAUCGUUCUUUCCCUUACUACAACCAGCUUACUGCCAUAUACGUAAGAGAUCGGGCGACUGGGAAAGACGCUCAAACAGCUGCUGAUGUUCUUGAAGAAAUACAUGCUGAGGAUGAACGUACUACAGAUAUGAAUGAAGAGAGAAACACAUUCUAUGACUGCGAAGCUGACGUCUCUUUAGACGACAUGGAUGUUUCUGGUAUGGAUCCGCGAGGAGAUAGAGACCAAGGGGGUUCCUCAUCUUCAAACAAGAGAAAGAAUAAAUCUGAUGCUCGUGAUGAUGUGUAUUCUUCAUUUGAGGAGGCUGCCACCUUGUUGGGGGAAAAAAUCCAGGCCGUUGGCGAUAAAAUCAGUAGGAGUAUUGCCUCCGAGGUGGUAGUUCAGCACAAGUCAGAAGAGAAUAUGGAAGAAAAAGCUUCAAAUUUAUAUUCAGCCUUAUGGUCAAUUGAAGGUUUAAACGACGAUCAGCGGUAUGAUGCUUUGAGUAAAAUUCCCGAUCAUCCAAAUCAAAUGAUCAUUUUCUUUAGUUUACCUUCUGUUGCCCGAUUGGAAUGGGUCAGAAGAUUUCUUUCUCACCAUUAAAUAUCAAUGUUCAAACUUUUUGAUGUUGUAAAACUAUAUAACAUAUGGAUUAUGAUGUACAAUUUCAUUUUCAUCUAACUUUUUCUUAGUAUAAGUUAAUUAUGUUUAUGCAGAAAAUAAUUCUCAAGUUAUAUUUUUAUUUUAGUAAAUUCAUAAGAACAUUUUAUGAAAUUAUAUUUAAUAAUAAUUAUUUUAAAUUUAUUAAAUCAUAUAUUUUAAUUAAAAUAUAUUUAAUAUUAAUUAUUUCAAAUCUUCAUUAUAUUAUGAUUUGAGUAAAUUCAUAUAAGAAUAUGAAUUAUUAAGAAUUUUAUUAAAUUAUAUACCAAAAUUAUAAUGUAUUUAAUAAUAAUUAUGUUUAAAUAUGAUUAAAUUAUUUAUUAUUUAUAUUAUUAAUCUUAUUAAAAUUUAAAUAACAAUAACAAAUUUCUGCUAAUUAUAAGAAUUUUAUUAAAUUAUAUAUUUUAAUUAAAAUGCAUUUAAUAAUAAUUAUGUUUAAAUAUGAUUAAGAUAUUUAUUACUGAUAAUAAUAAUCUUAUUAAAAUUUAAAUAACAUUAACAAUAAUCAUUUACCAAAACAAUUUUCUGCUAAUUAUAAGAAUUUUAUUAAAUUAUAUAUUUUAAUUAAAAUAUAUUUAAUUAUAAUUAUGUUUAAAUAUGAUUAAAAUAUUUAUUACUGAUAAUAAUAAUCUUAUUAAAAUUUAAAUAACAAUAAUAAUAAUCAUUUACCAAAACAAUUUUAUGCUAAGGGUAUUUUAGUCAUUUUAGUUUUUUCCAUUACCUCUAUUCCAUUCAACCAAACACAAUAUUACUAUUACGCCUCUAUUCCAUUACAUUCAACCAAACAGUGGAUUAGCUAUUACACCUCUAAUCCAAUACACCUCUAAUCCCAAUACACCUCUAAUUCAAUACAGCGAACCAAACGCACUCUUAAAGUCAUGGGAGUGUCUUUCCUCGGAAUCACCGGGGAAGCCGAUUUCUCUCCGCCUAUUAGCUCGCGACUGGAAUCUCGAAACUUCUCAAACUGUUUUCGUCGGCAGGUAUUUGUCUCGUGAAGCUCGGGACAAGUUCAGAGACGAUUAUAAUCUAUUCAAUACAGGUUUAAUGAAGCUCCCGUUUGAUCUCCCCGGUUUCGCGUUCCGAAACGCCAGGCUGGCCGUUGAGCGAUUAAUCGAAACCCUUAGGGCACGUUUGGUUCGCUGUAUUGGAUUAGAGGCGUAUUGGAUUAGAGGUGUAUUGGGAUUAGAGGUGUAUUGGAUUAGAGGUGUAAUAGCUAAUCCACUGUUUGGUUGAAUGUAAUGGAAUAGAGGCGUAAUAGUAAUCUUGUGUUUGGUUGAAUGGAAUAGAGGUGUAAUAGCAUAAUAGAAAAAACUAAAAUGACUAGAAUACCCUUAGCAUAAAUUUGUUUUGGUAAAUGAUUAUUGUUAUUGUUAUUUAAAUUAUAAUAAGAUUUUUAUUAUCAAUAAUAAAUAAUUUAAUCAUAUUUAAACAUAAUUAUUAUUAAAUAUAUUUUAAUUACAAUAUAUAAUUUAAUAAAAUUCUUAAUAAUUAAUAUUCUUAUAUUAAUUUACUGAAAUCAUAAUAUAUGAUACUGUAAAAUAUAAAUUAACAUAAUUAUUAUUAAAUAUAUUUUAAUUAAACUAUAUAAUUUAAAAAAAUUCUUAAUAAUUAAUAUUCUUAUAUUAUUUACUCAAAUCAUAAUAUAUGAUACUGUAAAAUAUAAAUUAACAUAUUAUUAUUAUAUUAAUUAAACUAUAUAAUUAAAAAAAUCUUAAUAAUUAAUAUUCUUAUAUUCAUUACUCCAACUCAUAAUAUAUGAUACUGUAAAAUAUAAUCUACCUACUUAUUAUUUACAUAUAUUUAAUUCAACUAUAUAAUUUAAAAAAAUCUUAAUAAUUAAUGCCUUUAUAUAAUUACUCAAAUCAUAUAUAUGAUACUGUUGAUGCUAGUUUUGAAUAGAUGGUAUAAUAGACGUACAUUUACAUUUAUAUUAGAGGCACUAUCUUAAAUGAUAUACAAAAUGUAUAAGUGGCCUCAACAUUGAUGCUAGUUUCUUUCACUUCAAAUUUACAUCAUGUAAAAUAUAUGCGCUGAACCAGAGUAACAUAAUCCAUGAAGUUUGCAAGAACAACACAGGAUUCCAAAACCAAAACCAGCAGAUUACUUAUCAAACUGUUUGCAGCUCAAUUUUCCCAGGCAGAUGCCAAUUGUAAUAGAAGUUGAUCAGGUACUGCGCCUUCCCAAUUCUCUGGUGGAUCCAUCGUGGAAGCUGCUUCAUGUAAAUUCAACAGAAGCUCUUUCUUCAACUCCAUCGUUAUACCCAAUGCAUCAUGUCCGUUUUCUAUCACCACUUUGACCAGCUGAAUAAUUACAGGAAAUUUUUUUUUAAUAGUAAACUUAUAAAAGAAAAUGUCUAAAUAGAGCAGCUUGAAGUAAAUGGCUCAAAGAUGAAGAACCCAUACCUGUUGAAUCCAGGAUAGACAAAUAUCAAACAAAUCUUGCUCCAUAAGAAAUUGCACAAUAGCGUGCAAGGCUUCAUUUGCUAUCUCAUUUGACAGUUGAUCAACCAUAGGGCCUGAUCUAUCCAUCAGCUUUAUAAGCAAGAGAUCAUCCCCUGUAGAGAGAACUUCUGCAUAGGCAGAGUCCAUAUCACCUACUUGAAGGGCAUGCAUUGCAUUGCUCCAAGAAGUCCAGACAUUGCAUUGCAUUGCAUUGCAGGGCAGAGUCCCCUUGUUUCGAGUUUCUGAAAGAAUUCAGGAUUCAACUCUCUGUCUGUUAAUGCAGGUGAUUUCUUAUUUAAAAUUACAACUGCUUUGUCAAUAAUGCUUCCACCUUUGCCUUCAGAAACAGAAUCUGAAGUCUGUGUUUUUUUAUCACCCGCACUUGGAUCUUUGGAGCCAUUCUUUUCUGAUGAUUCAGCUGACUGAGCAUUGUCACCAUCUACAGCAUUGAAACAAGUUUAAUCCAAUAAGAUGAAUGACCUACACAUCAGAAGGACAACCCGUAACACUUAACUGACACACUUACCAUGAGACAAGGCUUUCAGGUCAUCUGCAGCUCCAUCUUCCCCUUUUCCUGCAAUCUUCUUCCAUAAUUGCAAUGCUUCUGUCAUGCUAUCUCUCACAGGUUUCAUCUGGUUGACCAAUGAUUAAACGUUACAAUAGAAUAAAAUUUCCAUGAGGCAGUGUUGAGUAAUGUAAAUCUGUCAUAUCUGCACCAUUAGAAGAGAUGAUAGUGAAAGGACUUCAAUCCUAACCUUGCUUAAUCAUAAUGUGCUAGCUGAAAGUCCCUUGAAAACCAAUUUAGAAAGCAUGGAUGCAUACAGUCCAAACCCACAUUUUCUAUUAGUCUAAAUUCUGUCACACAAUUAACCCUAGGAUUUCUAAUUAUAUCAAGUUCCUACAAAAAAAAGGAAAUCUAUGUGGAGGAUAUACAUGUUUUCCCGAAGCAAAGUGACCAGAUCAACACAUGUAAUGAAGAAAAGAAAGUACAUGGUCUGGCACCAGUCAUGUCCAAAAUAUGUAUCAAAAUUUCACAAUGAAAUCAUACACAAGUCAUUGAUGUAAAAGUAAUAUACAUAUAUAUAAGUAUGUAUGCAUGCAUGCAAGAAAAAUGACUCCAAAAAGCUACCCUAUCAAAGCGACAACCCUCAAGUAUGGUUAUUGUCGAAGAUGCUCUAUCUGCAAUCAAGUUGCUUGAAUGCAGUGCCAAUGCACUUAAAGAAUCUGCAGCUGCCUUUCUCGUCGCCCAAUCUGUGCUCCCAAGGCAUUCGUGGAUGCUUAGCUGCAAUGCUUCCAAGCUCUGAGGUGCAAUUGCUCCCACCUACAUGGUCAUCAUAAAUUUACAGAACUUCAAUUUUCUUUUCCUAUUUUUUGACCAAAAAAACAAAUUGUUCUUAUUUGUGGAAUUUUCCAUAUCUAUUCCCCACCUAGCUACCUAAUUCACAUGAUCAAAUAAAACAAGAUCUACAAUACCAGCCAAAAAAAACAAGCACAAAGUAAACAAUAAAGAAACUACAAGAUAUUCAUUUACGAUGAUACUUGACAUCCACAAAACCAACAACAUAAAUCAUCAAUAUCCUUAUGAAUCAAACACAAAACAACUGCAAUACACAAACCUGUGACAAACUUGCCACUACUGGCAAAAGGGAAGCCUUGGCCAUAAAAUUCUGGUUAUUCAACAGCUUGCAGAUCCUUGGACACAGUUUCUGAAAAGCAGGCAAAGGAGGAUCAGAUGCACAUUCCACCAUCUUAGCCAUACACGUCGAUGCACCAGAUUGUACCCCUUUGUUCUGCUCCCCCAUUGAUAUUUAAAUUACAACAGAACAAACAACAGAAAUCGAAGAUUAGCAGAGAAGAGAGAACAACUUCGAACGGCAUGUAUUUCUUAAGCCUAACCAACAACAGAAAACACAUUUCAAUUCAACAUGCAAUACAAACAGAAUAAAAUUGGCUAAAACUAACCUAUUAGCAAAUCGGGGCACAAUGAAAAACCUGAAAAAAGCAAAAGGGGAAACCGAUUAGAUAAAAACAAUAGAUCAUAUUUACCUCGAAAGUAUUGGUUUUCAUCUACAAUAGCAAAGGAUAUUAAUCUAUCGGGAAACAUAGACUAACCGAUGACGCAAAUCGGCAGAAACUGUGAGCAAAUCGGCCGAAAUAGAAAAGAAAAUAAUCGGGGGAGCAAAUCGGCAGAAAAGGGAAGAAAAUAAUACUGGGAAAAAGCAAUGAAACAAGGAAGCAAUUCGGAUGAAGGUGGGAAACGGAAGAGAAACAGAGGGGAUCGAUUAGGGGUAAAAGAGGGAAGGUUUAGGGUAGGGUCAUCUAAUCUGAGAAUAAGGGGGGGAGUAGAAAUCGGUGUUUUUCACCGAUUAGGGAAGUAAGGGGAUAGACGCGUAUUAGCAAUACGCUCAACCAAACGGCGUCUUAGAUUGGUAUUAGGUGGGCCCCACCGAUUAGGGGUGUAUUGGCUUAGCCAAUACACCAAACCAAACAAGCUCUUAGUGAUUGUGCUACUCAAAGUAAAAAGAGGAUGUCUGAAGGAGACGAGCCUUCUUGUUUAAUAGAUUUUUAGAUGCAAGAAACUGUUAGAGAAAUAGCGGAGUCCAAAACGGUGCCACCUCACUCUAGCGACGUAGAAAUCGGCAGUUACCUCUUUGAUUUUCUCUUUGCCGCUCAAGACGCCUCCACUUCGUCGCUUCUCAAAUUCUUAAUAAUUAAUGUUCUUAUAUUAAUUUACUCAAAUCAUAAUAUAUGAUACUGUUGAUGCUAGUUUUGCAUAGAUGGUAUAAUAGACGUACAUUUACAUUUAUAUUAGAGGCCACUAUCUUACAUGAUAUACAAAAAUGUAUAAGUGGCCUCAACCAUUGAUGCUAGUUUUCUUUCACUUCAAAUUUACAUCAUGUAAAAUAUAUGCGCCGAACCAGAGUAACAUAAUCAUGAAGUUUGCAAUAACAACACAGGAUUCCAAAACCAAAACCAGCAGAUUUACUUAUCAAACUGUUGCAGCUCAAUUUUCCAGGCAGAUGCCAAUUGUAAUAGAAGUUGAUCAGGUACUGCGCCUUCCCAAUUCUCUGGUGGAUCCAUCGUGGAAGCUGCUUCAUGUAAAUUCAACAGAAGCUCUUUCUUCAACUCCAUCGUUAUACCCAAUGCAUCAUGUCCGUUUUCUAUCACCACUUUGACCAGCUGAAUAAUUACAGGAAUUUUUUUUUUAAUAGUAAACUUAUAAAAGAAAAUGUCUAAAUAGAGCAGCUUGAAGUAAAUGGCUCAAAGAUGAAGAACCCAUACCUGUUGAAUCCAGGAUAGACAAAUAUCAAACAAAUCUUGCUCCAUAAGAAAUUGCACAAUAGCGUGCAAGGCUUCAUUUGCUAUCUCAUUUGACAGUUGAUCAACCAUAGGGCCUGAUCUAUCCAUCAGCUUUAUAAGCAAGAGAUCAUCCCCUGUAGAGAGAACUUCUGCAUAGGCAGAGUCCAUAUCACCUACUUGAAGGGCAUGCAUUGCAUUGCUCCAAGAAGUCCAGACAUUGCAUUGCAUUGCAUUGCAGGGCAGAGUCCCCUUGUUUCGAGUUUCUGAAAGAAUUCAGGAUUCAACUCUCUGUCUGUUAAUGCAGGUGAUUUCUUAUUUAAAAUUACAACUGCUUUGUCAAUAAUGCUUCCACCUUUGCCUUCAGAAACAGAAUCUGAAGUCUGUGUUUUUUUAUCACCCGCACUUGGAUCUUUGGAGCCAUUCUUUUCUGAUGAUUCAGCUGACUGAGCAUUGUCACCAUCUACAGCAUUGAAACAAGUUUAAUCCAAUAAGAUGAAUGACCUACACAUCAGAAGGACAACCCGUAACACUUAACUGACACACUUACCAUGAGACAAGGCUUUCAGGUCAUCUGCAGCUCCAUCUUCCCCUUUUCCUGCAAUCUUCUUCCAUAAUUGCAAUGCUUCUGUCAUGCUAUCUCUCACAGGUUUCAUCUGGUUGACCAAUGAUUAAACGUUACAAUAGAAUAAAAUUUCCAUGAGGCAGUGUUGAGUAAUGUAAAUCUGUCAUAUCUGCACCAUUAGAAGAGAUGAUAGUGAAAGGACUUCAAUCCUAACCUUGCUUAAUCAUAAUGUGCUAGCUGAAAGUCCCUUGAAAACCAAUUUAGAAAGCAUGGAUGCAUACAGUCCAAACCCACAUUUUCUAUUAGUCUAAAUUCUGUCACACAAUUAACCCUAGGAUUUCUAAUUAUAUCAAGUUCCUACAAAAAAAAGGAAAUCUAUGUGGAGGAUAUACAUGUUUUCCCGAAGCAAAGUGACCAGAUCAACACAUGUAAUGAAGAAAAGAAAGUACAUGGUCUGGCACCAGUCAUGUCCAAAAUAUGUAUCAAAAUUUCACAAUGAAAUCAUACACAAGUCAUUGAUGUAAAAGUAAUAUACAUAUAUAUAAGUAUGUAUGCAUGCAUGCAAGAAAAAUGACUCCAAAAAGCUACCCUAUCAAAGCGACAACCCUCAAGUAUGGUUAUUGUCGAAGAUGCUCUAUCUGCAAUCAAGUUGCUUGAAUGCAGUGCCAAUGCACUUAAAGAAUCUGCAGCUGCCUUUCUCGUCGCCCAAUCUGUGCUCCCAAGGCAUUCGUGGAUGCUUAGCUGCAAUGCUUCCAAGCUCUGAGGUGCAAUUGCUCCCACCUACAUGGUCAUCAUAAAUUUACAGAACUUCAAUUUUCUUUUCCUAUUUUUUGACCAAAAAAACAAAUUGUUCCUAUUUGUGGAAUUUUCCAUAUCUAUUCCCCACCUAGCUACCUAAUUCACAUGAUCAAAUAAAACAAGAUCUACAAUACCAGCCAAAAAAAACAAGCACAAAGUAAACAAUAAAGAAACUACAAGAUAUUCAUUUACGAUGAUACUUGACAUCCACAAAACCAACAACAUAAAUCAUCAAUAUCCUUAUGAAUCAAACACAAAACAACUGCAAUACACAAACCUGUGACAAACUUGCCACUACUGGCAAAAGGGAAGCCUUGGCCAUAAAAUUCUGGUUAUUCAACAGCUUGCAGAUCCUUGGACACAGUUUCUGAAAAGCAGGCAAAGGAGGAUCAGAUGCACAUUCCACCAUCUUAGCCAUACACGUCGAUGCACCAGAUUGUACCCCUUUGUUCUGCUCCCCCAUUGCUAUUUAAAUUACAACAGAACAAACAACAGAAAUCGAAGAUUAGCAGAGAAGAGAGAACAACUUCGAACGGCAUGCAUUUCUUAAGCCUAACCAACAACAGAAAACACAUUUCAAUUCAACAUGCAAUACAAACAGAAUAAAAUUGGCUAAAACUAACCUAUUAGCAAAUCGGGGCACAAUGAAGAACCUGAAAAAAGCAAAAGGGGAAACCGAUUAGAUAAAAACAAUAGAUCAUAUUUACCUCGAAAGUAUUGGUUUUCAUCUACAAUAGCAAAGGAUAUUAAUCUAUCGGGAAACAUAGACUAACCGAUGACGCAAAUCGGCAGAAACUGUGAGCAAAUCGGCCGAAAUAGAAAAGAAAAUAAUCGGGGGAGCAAAUCGGCAGAAAAGGGAAGAAAAUAAUACUGGGAAAAAGCAAUGAAACAAGGAAGCAAUUCGGAUGAAGGUGGGAAACGGAAGAGAAACAGAGGGGAUCGAUUAGGGGUAAAAGAGGGAAGGUUUAGGGUAGGGUCAUCUAAUCUGAGAAUAAGGGGGGGAGUAGAAAUCGGUGUUUUUCACCGAUUAGGGAAGUAAGGGGAUAGACGCGUAUUAGCAAUACGCUCAACCAAACGGCGUCUUAGAUUGGUAUUAGGUGGGCCCCACCGAUUAGGGGUGUAUUGGCUUAGCCAAUACACCAAACCAAACAAGCUCUUAGUGAUUGUGCUACUCAAAGUAAAAAGAGGAUGUCUGAAGGAGACGAGCCUUCUUGUUUAAUAGAUUUUUAGAUGCAAGAAACUGUUAGAGAAAUAGCGGAGUCCAAAACGGUGCCACCUCACUCUAGCGACGUAGAAAUCGGCAGUUACCUCUUUGAUUUUCUCUUUGCCGCUCAAGACGCCUCCACUUCGUCGCUUCUCUGGACAGUGACCCUCCUCGACUCUCAUCCCGAUGUUCUCCGGAGAGUUCGGGAGGAAGUGUCAAGGAUUUGGUCGCCGGAGUCGGAUACUUUAAUAAGCGCAGAGCAACUGAGGGAAAUGAAGUACACUCAAGCAGUGGCGCGUGAGGUUAUAAGAUAUCGGCCCCCGGCGACGCUAGUACCGCACAUUGCGAUGAAGGAUUUCCCCUUGACCGAGUCGUACACGAUUCCCAAGGGCACGAUUGUGUUCCCCUCGGUUUACGAAUCAUCCUUCCAAGGGUUCACGGAGGCGGACCGGUUCGAACCGGAGCGAUUCUCGGAGGAUAGGCAAGAGGAGGUGAUUUUCAAACGAAACUACCUGGCUUUCGGUGCUGGGCCCCACCAGUGCGUGGGCCAAAGGUACGCCUUAAAUCAUCUGGUGCUUUUCAUUGCCAUGUUCGUCACGGUGCUCGAUUUCAAGCGACACCGAACCGAGGGCUGUGAUGAAAUCAUGUAUUGCCCGACCAUCUGUCCCAAAGACGGCUGCCGCGUCUCCUUAUCUCGGAGGUGCUCGCGUUAUCCCAAUGUCUCUCUUAAUUGACCAAAAAGCCCUCCAAAGUUCUCUCGCCUUCUUUUCCGGUAAACUUGGUAGCUCUCUGUGAUUUUUGUCCUUUGCUGCUUCUCACGUCCUUCAAGGCUGGGACCGUCAAACCUUGUUUGUGGCUAUGAUUCUUUGAUGUGAGGUAUUUUUAUGUACAUACAAAUUGGAGGGUUUGGAUAAUUUCUUCUUUUUUUCCCUUAAUUUAAUAAAUGAAAAUUGAUUGGUGUUUUAUCAAAUAAACAAAAAAUUGUAUUUUAAAGUUGUAAUGUUCAUUCCACCAAAAAAAAAAAAAAAGUUGUAAUGUUCAUUGUCUUUUACUUUCUCAUUGUAAGUUGAGAUUCACAUGACUGGAUAAGUUCGAAAAGGUCCUUAAAAUAUUAAUUGGUCACAAUAAUUACUAUAAUUACAAAGGACAAUCCUGCAUACAAAAUUCAUAAACUUGUUUAUAUAACCAUUGCAAUAAUUUAAGACAGCUUACUCCAAUAAUAGAGUUAUGUGUUUGCAUAAUAAUAAUUGUGUCAUUUGAUCACUAUCUUCUUUAUUUGCAUCAGUAUCCUUGGAAUAUAAUUUGGCAUUUUAGGUAAAAAUGGCAAUAAUUCUGAGUUUGAAAAUAUUUACUCUUAAAAUUAGCUUUUUUAAUACGAUAAAAGUAUUUUAUGCAUUAGUUAGUACUCAUUUGUGUUUGACUCAAAGCAAUCCAUGUUAUACUCGUGCCCAUAUCGUCUUCGCUACCGACAUAAAUUUGUUGCCCAGUACUAUUUUUGGAUUUAUUUUUUUAAAAUAUUUUUCAUUUUUAUUUUUUAAUUUUUUAAUAAAUUAUGUUACAAGAAGGAGAAUUUAGGUUGGAUCCCACUAUCUUAUCCUUACUCUCAAUUAAGUUUAAUAAUUUAAUUUUAAAUAUAAUUAUAAAAAAUUAAUUUUAAUUUAACAUAUUGAAAUUUUAUAUUAAUCAAUUUAAAUUAAAAUUGAUCGAAAUGGGUCAAAAUACAACUAAAUGUUUGAACUCCCCUCAAAUUUUAAUCAAAAGUUACGAUUUGAUACCAAAUUAGAACCUUAACAACAUGUAUUGACUUAAAUGAUAUUAACUAUUAUGAUUUGUGUUGAUAUCAUUUAGAUGGACAUGAAAUUUAGACUGCAACAUAAAAAUUCAAAAAUUAUCUUCUUGAUUUUAAUUUGUAUCUGUAUUUAUUUAAGUGAUAUGGAAUAACAUUGGCUAAGAUAUUAAAAGUUAAUGAUUAAUCAGAUUUAGUUUUUUAGCAGAUAUAUAAUUAAAUAUUCAAUUGCAAAAGUUAUAUUUAUCCAGAUCUGAAGGUUCGUUUGAAAAGUGGAUAAAUUUAAGCAAAAAUAUAGGUCCGAAAAUAGGCUUGGACAAAAAAUAAUACUUAUUUUCUAAACGAGUCAAGUCUUGACUAGUUUUUUUCUUGAGCCCAGUCUAAAUUUGCCUAAAUAUUUUUUCAUUGUUGUUUGGUACUAUUUUGCUGUGGUUUGCUACAAUUUUGAAGGUAUUUAUUUGUUGUAUUAUAAUUAUCUUAGUAUUAUUUAAUUAUAAAGACUUUUUUUAAUGUAUAUUUAAUUUGUUCAAAAAUAUUUAUCCUAAUAUUUUUAGUGUAUUUAAUGUAUUAUAUUUUUAUUUAUAAAAAAUAAAACGGGCUGGUCAAGUCAGGCUCAACAUUUUUUAUUUAGGUUAAACUUAAACAAAAUUUUAAGCUCAUUUCUCAGAUUGAGCCAUACCUACGCCUAGAAAACGGGCUUAACAUUUUGCAUUGAUCCGAUCUAGCCCCCUCAAAAUUAAAAGAAAUGAGGAAUUAAAGGUAUUAUUAUAUCAUAAAUUUAUACUUUAGAAGUUUAAAAUGGGGUUAAUUUAUAUUUUAAUGCUGGAAAAAAAAUUAUACAAAUUACUAUUUUUUAACUGCAAGAAAAAAAAGAAAAUAAUUUUUAUCUAAAUAAAAACGUGUUCUAUAAGUCACAUUUUUACUUUUCUUAAAAAACAACAUAAAUCGAUAAAUUUUAACUUAGUUUCUCAAAUAAAAUUUUCCAAUAUAUACAUAAAUUAACAUUUAAAAUGGUUAAAAAGUGUUAUUUAUUUACUUCACUUUAGGGUAACAGUGUUAAAUUAUUUCUCAAAAAAGAAAAACAAAAUAGAAAAGGAGAUAUGGCUAAAUUAUAGCACGAGAAAGAUGAAUGGUUAUAAAUGUAAGGCGUUGGGUCUUUAUUGGUCAACUAUUCCCAGGACCGGGAUGUGACGAUCCAUUUAUUAAUUAAAACCUUCUAGAAAGAUUGAAUUUGAAAUUUAAAAUAUGUUUGGUUUUAUUUGUGUUUCGAGAUCACAUAUUUGGAAAUCAAUAUGAUCCCAUUGAUUUGAAUUUUCAAUAAUAUUAUUAAAAGAAGUUAAUAAAGCUUAUAAGAUGAUCAAGGUUAGGAAAAAAAAUAAAAACAGACUAUAUCCCACUUUUAAACAUUUAAGAGGCCCCAAAGAACAUUCAAAAAAACUAAGGCCCUAAAUUAAAACACGAGCAGCGUUAGAAUUUGUUAUAUUCCUGGAAAGAUUUUCCUUUUUCUUUUGAAUAGAAUUCUCCGUCCCAGCUGGAUAUAUAAAAUAAAUAAAAUACUAAAUUUAUAUUUUGAGCAUUCAAUUUUAAAAUAUUAUAAAAUAAUCAUUGAAUUAUUUGAAAGCUUUUAUUUAAAUCAUUAUGUUGUUAAAAUCAUUAUUGUACGACUUUCUCUAUUUGCAUAGCCUACAACAAUCAAAAACUCUUUUUUUUUUCUUAUAUUCUAUGUUUAAUUUUUUUCCAUUAAACGACUUUAAACGUCACGAUUUUGUAAACUAAAAGUCAAACAAGCUUCUUCUAUGAUCUCUCACAUCGACUGUCAGAUUGAUUUGGAUCUUAGGUAUAUCCUUCUAUUUGUCGAUGGGUAUUUAUCCACCAUAUUGACCAUCGGAUUGUUGCUUACAGAUCAUUAGCUGAACUUUAUAAAAGUAAAAUUUAACAACCUAGUGAUUUAAAUAAAAACUUUUGAAUAGUUUGAUGACUUCAAUGAAAAUUUCAAAAAUUCAAUGACCAAUUUAUAAAAUUUUAAAAUUAAGUGACCAAAACAUAAAUUUAUAAAUAAUUUAGGUACUUUAAAUGUACUAUACUCAUAUAAAAAAAUAGACACUGUGAACCGGUGGUGCCACUUUCAACCUUUUGAUUGUAAACUCUCAAUGACAAAUAGGGUUUGGUUGUUUAUAACCAUUAGCUUUUAAUGUCACAUGUGUUAUACAUUAUUUUAUACAUUUUUAAUUUAUUGAACAAUAUAUUUUAAAUUUAAAAAAUACAUUUAUAUUAAUUAAAUGAUAUUUAGUUUAAUUUGUACUAAAUGUCAAUUUCUUUUGAAAAAUAAUUCGAGAGGCUAAAAGAUCGUAUUGAAAAUAAUAAAAACAAAAAUUUAAUUAAUAUAUAAAAUUUUCAAAAUAAUAUACAAAUUUGAAAAUAUAUGAGAAAGUAAGUACAAAAAUAUUUACACUAAAUCAACGAUCACUAAAAAAUAGGGGCAAUUUACAAGAAAAAGUCUUUUUUUUUAAGUAUUUAUGGAAAUGGGCCAACUUUUUUAUUAUUUACUGGAAAGGGUCGAAUUCCCCGAAAACGCGUCCAAGUCAGCGCGAUGUCAGGUGACAUGUCAGCAAAACGUGUCUCUGGGGGUUUGCCUUUUUUUAGGAUUUGGAUUUUUUUGCAUUUAGGGAUAGGGUUUAGGGUUUUAAGGAUUAGGAUUUAGGAUUUAGGGUUUUUUAAAAAAAUUAAAUAAAUUAGGGUUUUAGGUUUUGGGUUACUUAAUUAAAUUAACUAUUAAUUUUAAAAAUAAAUUAGAUUAAGGUUUAGGGUUUAUGGUUAAUUAAUAAAAUUAUGGAUUAGUUUUUUUUAAUAAUUUUGUGUUUAGGGUUAUGGAAAAAUAUAUUAGCAAUAAAAAAAAUUUCUGCAGUAGUUUCUGAAAAAAUAAAUUAGAAAAGACGUAUCUGAAAAAAUAAUUUUGAGAAAAUGUUUCUGAACAAAUAGUGUCAAAAACGUUUUAAGCAUGAUGCACUGUCAGCAAAAGUACUGAAAAAAGCUACCACUAGGACUUUUUUUCUACAGUAGUUUUUGAAAAAAUAAUUUUGAGAAUAUGUUUCUGAACAAAUAGUGUCAAAAAUACUUCGACCAGGAUGCACUGUCAGCAAAAGUACUGCAAAAAGCUCCCACGUGGAUGCUCUUUUUCUAUAGUAGUUUCUAAAAAAAUAAUUUUGAGAAAAUGUUUUUGAACAAAUAGUGUCAAAAACGCUUCAAGCAGGAUGCACUGUCAGCAAAAGUACUGAAAAAAACUCCCACGUGUACGUUCUUUUUCUACAGUAGUUCAUAUUUGGCCUGAGGCUAUAAAUGAGCCAAAUUUUAUUCUCAGGUUGCAUAAGAUACAGCAAGAAAAAUUAAAGACGUUAAACAGAAUAAAAAUUAAAGAUGAGUAAACGUAUUAGUGUUGUUAUUUACUAUGAUGGUAAUGUCCGUCACACCGAGAAUGGCAUUAUUUUUUUUAUCAAAAAAUACAGUGCGACUGGUUUUUAACCAGAACAUAGAUUUGACAGAACUUUGUAAAAGAAUUAGGCGUAAAAUCUUUGGAACGACGCUAAUGAAAGUUUUGUCUAUUAGGUAUCAAAGGCACUCGUAGCUUAGAGGCAAUGAUGCAGACUUAUCUUGCUAGUGAAUCACCCUAUAUUGAGUUAUAUGUAUAAUUUUCAUUACCAAAUGAUGCAUUUGCGACUUCAACAUCUACUGCUCUUCGAGAGGAAUACACGACCCCUGCCUGACACUCUAUUAGUGGGUUGCAAAAUAGGGAAGCGCCCAUUUUUGUUAGCAGUAUGGAAUACACAACCCUUGCACGACAUUCCGUCAGUAGAUGAGACAUGCACCUUCGGUGGGUCGAUGUUUGAUGAUAAAAAUACUUACUGGGAAUGACAUAACUGUAACGACUUAAUUUUCAGUGGUGUCGGAAAUGGUGAUUUGAGAUCACUAAAUCCGACAAAUAAGAUUGAACAAGAUAUUAAUUUAAUAUUUAUGAGUCAAGUAAGGAUUUAGAAGAAUUUUUAAAAUAGUGAAAUUAGUGAAUUAAAAGAAUUUAUUAGGUUAAACGGGUCAAAAAUGAGGUAUCGAGACCUCAAAAUUGAAAAUCGAGCUAUAAAUAUUUUUAUAAAUAUUUUUGGAGUGUCAUUGAGUUAGUAUUAAAGUUUCGUUAGAAAAUUUUAACGUUUGGAUGACUAAUUAAUUAAAAAGGACUAAAUUGAAAAUAGCGCAAAAUUUGUUAAAUUGUGAGUAAAUAGCUUAAGUAUUUAAAAAGAUGGAUUUAAAGAGCAAUUAGACCCAAAGGUUAAUGGCUGGACGGUUUGGGUAUGAAAUAAGCAAGAAAACAAUGUGAAAAGGGGCAAAAUUGGAAAUAGCAUAAAAGUUAAUAGUUAAAUAAUGAUGUAAUUGAAAAAUCUAGACAUUUCUUCAUAUUUUCUCAGCCAAAACGCCAUAGAAGGCCUGGAGAAAGCUGGUUUUUCAUAUUUUUACAUCAUGUGAGUUUAAUUCUUGCUUUUUCUUGAUAAUUUUUAUGUUUUUAUGACUUUUACAAUUAGGUCCACUUAUAGAAUUCAUUAGUUUUUGAUUUUAUGGGUGAAAUUGGAAGUUAACCUGGAUGGAUAAGGGAAGUUUAUGAUGAAUUAUUAUGAAAUUUAAGUUCUAAUUUCAUAUUAAGGUGGUUUUAUUAAGUGAUUUUGAUAGGAAAUGAUAUUUAGGACCUAAUUGUGAAAAGGUUGUGAAUUGAAGGUUUCUGUUGAAAUUCAGAAUAUAAAAGGUUUUUAAAUAGUUUAUAAUGAUAAAAUAAAGUGUUAAUUGAGAAAAAUUAGUUCAAUUGACGGGUGAAUUGAGCAGGGACUAAAUUGUGAAAACUAUAAAUUUUGGGGUAAAAGUGCAAUUUCGAAAUUUGAACAGCAUAAAUUGUGAAGUGAAAUAGAAAUCAAAUAAAUGCUAAUGAGUAGAAAUAUUUUAUAUUAUAGAUCAAGAAUCGAAAGAAGAACAAGGAAAAGAAAAAGUUGCGGAAUAGUCCCUAAAUUUCAAUAUCUUCUACAAAUUAGCCGGGUAAGUUCAUAUGGUUGAAUUUAGAUGUUUAUUUGUGAAUGAUUGAAGUAUAUAAUGUGUUAUUAUAUACAAAUUUGUUGUGGGAUUGUGUAGAUUUUGUUAAUGAAAGAAUAAAUGUGGAAAUGCAAAUUAGGAAAAACGCAGGAUUGAGUACGUUCGUAUCGUGACGUGUGAUGAAUUGACGGAUAAGACUAUGGUUGUUCCAUGGCAAAGUGUGAAUGUAGGUAUGGUAUCAUCCAUACUGAGUUGUGAAAUGUAGGUAUGGUAUUAUCCAUACUGAGUUGUGAAAUGUAGGUAUGGUAUUAUCAAAUCCAUACUGAGUUAAGAAAUGUAGGUAUGGCAUUUCCCAUACCGAGUUGAAAAAUGUAGGUAUGGUAUUUCAAUGAGGAAAAGCAUACUGAGUUGUGAAUCGUGGCGUUGAGCAACGACGUACUCAAUUUCGUAAGUCGUUUCCUAAUUUGAUUAUAAGAAAUAAAAGAGAAGUGAUCCAAAUGAAAGAGAUUGAGUAGUUGUUACUGUUGAGCUCAACUAUGUGAAUUAUUAUAACAAUGGUUGUGAAUCGCAGGAAACUUUAGUAAAUGUUUUGGUAUUUUUUGGCAAUAUUAUGUUUGGUAAGCAUUACUUUUAAACCUAUGAACUUACUAAGCUUCAAUAAGCUUACUUGUGCGUGUUUAAAAUUUUUAUGUAGAUUGACUUGAAGUGAAGUGGGUAGAUUGGAUCAACACAACAAAGCACACUAUCCAGAUCAAUUCCGAUAGCUUUUGUUUUAUGUUUGAAGAUUUAUAUGGCAUGUAUAGAGUUUAAAUGAAAUGAAGUAAAGAUGUCAACAUUUUGUACUAAAAUAGUUUUUGGUUAGUAGUAGUAGUUUGAAUUUGAAAAUUCACCAUAAAUUAUGAAAAUCUCAUUAUAGGUUGAAUAAAAUAUGAAAUUAAAUCUUAUUGAAUCUAGUUUCACAUAGAAGAAACGGUGUAAGCAAAAGGCUUUCAUAUCAGGAGAUAUUUGAAUUUUUGUGAGACAAGGCCAGAGUGAUUUUAAACUCCCCUGUUCUGAUUUGUAAAAAUCAUUAAAAAUUGUACAAAAAUAUUUAGGAGUCAUACUAUAUAUAUAUGGAUUCCUUAUUGAGUCUAUUUUUAAUAGAAACAAUCGUCUUGGUUAUUUUAAUUCUAUACAUGGAGAAAUUUGGUUUGUAGUGCACAGGGGUUAGAGUAGCCGAACCCUGAAACAUGGGAGACUUCAACUAAUAAAUUGUACUAAUUGGCCCAACCAAAAAUUCUAGAAAAAAAUUAGUAAGUAGAUAUAUGAGCCUAGAUUCGGGAAAAAUUUACGGAUUUGAAUUUUGAGUUUUGUAACUCGAGAUAUGAUUUUUUUUGAGUCUGUAAUGCAGUUGGAUAGCUUGUUUGGAAAGUGUGAUAUAAAUUGUUUGAAUUUGUUUAAGUGCUCAAAUAAGUUUAGUAAUGCCUCGUUCUCGACUCUGGCGAUGGUCUCGGGUAAAGGGGGCGUUACAUUUAUUGGUAUCAGAGCUUUGGUUUAGUCAAUUCUCGGAACAAAUUUGAUGUGUAAAGUGUUUAAAAAUACAUGCCAUAUAAAUCUGUGAUAGUGUGAUGUGAAUGAUCCGAUCUAAUUACUAAUUUUUGUUAUAGAUUGUAAAGAUGUCUGAUAGACCUGAUGGUGUGUAAUAUUCCGAAAUAGGGCCUAAACGGAAUAGUGGUUGCGAAACCACAAAUCCGAGGUAGAAAAAAAUUUAUUUUAUUAUUAUUUUGAGGUUCAUGGUAUGAUUACAUGAUUGUGCGAAAAUUUCGUGAUAAAAUUCUAUGCAUAAAGUGCUUAAGUUGAGGUUAGGGACUAAAUCGAAUAAUUUACAAAACUUGCAUUCUAGAAGUUUUUAGUAUGAAAUUAUUUUGGAAUAUUAAUUAGGAGAUCUUAAAUGGUAAUUUGACCAAUUUUAAGUUCAUGGACAAAAUUAGGACAUGGAAGGAAUUUUUGAAAGUUUAGUAAGGAGGGGUAUUUUGGUCAUUUGGUUAUUAACAUUAAUAAAAAGGUAAAAAGAUGAUAAAAUUGUAUCAUCUUCUUCAAGUUACCAGCCGAACCUUACCUCUCUCCAUAGCUGGGGUUUCUUCAACUUUCAAGCUUUAUAGUAAGUGAUUCCAAGCCCCGUUUUUAAUGAUCUUUACGUUUUUUAAGUCCCGGUAGCUCGAUAAAGCUUAUGCUAGCAAUAAUUUAAGUUAGGAAUCAAAUUUGGAAAAAUACCCAUAGGUGAAAUUUGUGUAUUUUGAUAUUUUAUGAUGGAAUAUGAGGCUUUAAAUUAUGUUAGACAACUUGUGCUACUUGGUUUUAAGUGAAAACGAGUAAAAAGGCUUAAUCGGUAAAAAUACCUAAUAGUCAUAAGUACAUGUUAGUGUGUGAAUUUGAUGUUGUCAUAGAAGGGAAAAAUGAUCAGUAUGUCAUAAAACAUAAGAAAAUAGGAUGAAGUUUAAUUUACGAGCCUUGUGGCAAAAGUGCAAAUAUGUGAAAGUUUAGGGGCAAAAAUGUGAUUUUGCCAAAGAUUGAGUAAAGGGUUGUUUUGAUAAAUGUUGAUAUUAAAUAAGCUAAAUUUGCUAUUAUAGAUCAAGAAGAGCGAAAUUCGGGAGUAGAUCGGGGAAAAGAAAAAGUAAAGGACUAAAUUGUAAACUUUAGUCACAUUUUGUAUCGAGGUAAGUUUACAGUAAAUAAAUGCAAUAUUCUUUUAUUUUACAUUAUUAUUGUCAAUUUCCAGCAUUUAUAUAUUUAUGUUAUGAAAAUAUUUAAAGUCGAAUUUAAGGUGAAGUGAUAGAGGAAAAGUGUUAGAAAGCCCCGGUUGAACCCUAGGAAUGUUAGGAUAUUAGGGUUGACAGGACAGAACAGAAAUGAGCCAUGUAAGUCCAUAUUAGAAAUAUGGCUUUGGAUACAAGAUCGAGCCAUGUAAGUCCAUAUUAUAUAUGGCAUUGGAGACAGGAAUAAUUCAUGUAAGUCCAUGUCAAAGACAUGGCAUUAGCAGGGUAUUGAUAGACAGGAAUGACCCUAGUAUCCUUAGUAGUCCGAGUGGUUCAACGGGUCAGAAUACGAGUUAAAUUACAGUGAAUUAACAGCAAAGGAAAAGUAGAUUAUAUUUAUGAAAAAGGAAAGGUCAAGUAAGAAAGAAGGUAAGGGAAUAAAGAAGAAGAUAGAAAUUGAGAAGUAAAGAAAUUUAUGAUGUUAGAUGAUAUUAUGCAUAAUUAUCCAUUAUGUUGAAUGUUGUGAUUUAUUUGCUUGUAAGCUUACUAAGCCUAGUGCUUAAUCUCUUCAUUUUCUUCUUCUUAUAGUACUUAUCUAGCCACUCGGGGAUCGAAGGAAACGUCGGAGGCCGAUCACACUAUCAAAGAAAUAACUCGGUAUAAUUAGACGUUUUGUUUUGUGUAUGGCAUGUAUAGAAACUUAGCUACUUUUGGUAUAAUAUGAACAAUGAAUGAUGUGUAAAUACUUGCUAGAGAUUAGCUAAUAAAAAUGGCCGAUGAUAUGCAUGUUUAUUAAUAUGUAUGAUUGAAUGGUGAUUAUCACAUGAAAAUUAUGAAAAAUGUGAAAGUAACCUAAAAACAGAUUCAAGUAACAGAAAUGACGUAACUUUGAAAAAUCACUAAAAAUUGUAGAAACAUAGUUUGAAGAUGAAUAAUAUAUUAAAUUAAAGCUUAUUAUGUCUAUUUUCUUAUGGAAUAAGAAAAACAGGUAAAGGUAUUAUAUUAUAUGAUAUAUCUGAGUUUUAGUGAAACAGGGUCAGAGCGAUUUCUGGAUCCCCUGUUUCAACUUUGGAAAUUCACCAUAAAUUGUAAAAAACUAAUUAGAAGGUUUACUUUAUAUGGUUAUAAUCCUUGUUGAGUCUAUUUUUAAGAGAACAAACGGCUUAGUGAUAUGAAUUUUGUACAGGAAGAAACAUGGUUUGUAGCAAGAAGAGGUUAGUGCAGUCGAGUUUUGAAACAAGGGAAACUUUAACUAAUAAACUGUACUAAUUGGCCAAGUCAAAAAUCUAUGAAAAAAUUUAGUGGAUAGAUAUAUGAGUCUAGUUUCAGGAAAAAUUUACGGAUCUUAAUUUUGAGUUUUGGAACUCAAGAUAUGAAUUUUUAGGCGACUACGACGCAGAAUGGCAGCACAUUCCGAAAAGCUUAAAUAAACAAUUUAAAACUAUUUAAGUGAUAGAUUAAGUUUAGUAAUGCCUCGUGCUCGAUUCUGGCAACAGUCUCUGGUAAGGAGUGUUACAUUUAUUGGUAUCAGAGCAGGUUUAGUCGGUUCUCGGAAUAGUUAGUGUGAGAAAAAGUCUAGCUAUACAUGCCAUACUUGUAUUUUGAUAGUGUGACGACUCCUGACAAUUUUUUUAAUAAACAUUUUGUUUUAUAGUAAUGGAUCCCGGGCGAGCUGGUGAUGAUGAUGUAGAAAGUAAUGCGCCUGCUUCCACAGAAGGGGCAGCACCAUCUGAGAAUAGGCCAGUAAUAGUUGAUCAGGGAGGAGUGACUCAAGAAGCUCUCUUCCGAGCUUUGAAUGAUUUGUUUGCUGAGUUCGUUCGUACGAAUCCGGCAGUUAGACCUCCACCCCCUCAUCAUUCUCAGGCUACCCAUGCAGCUCAAGCUUCCCCAGUCACAGGUACAGUGGUAAGAGAAAAGCCACCAGUUGAUAGAAUCAGGAAAUAAGGGGCAGAAGAGUUCCGAGCAACAAAAGAUGAUGAUGCAGAAAGAGCAGAAUUUUGGUUAGAAAAUACUAUCAGAGUCUUUGACGAAUUAUCUUGUACACCCGAGGAGUGUCUGAAAUGUGUAGUAUCACUUCUUAGAGACUCAGCCUACUACUGGUGGAAGACACUUGUAUCAGUUUUACCGAAAAAGAGGGUCACUUGGAAUUUCUUUCAGGAAGAAUUUCGUAAAAAGUACAUCAGUCAGAGGUUUAUUGACCAGAAAAGAAAGGAAUUCCUAGAAUUGAAACAAGGCAAUAUGACGGUGACCGAUUAUGAGCGUGAAUUUGUCAGGCUCAGUAAAUAUGCUCAAGAAUGUGUGUCCACAGAGGCUAUCAUGUGUAAAAGGUUUGAGGAUGGGUUAAAUGAUGAUAUCCGACUGUCAGUGGGUGUCCUAAAAAUAAAAGAGUUCGUUAUUUUAGUUGAGAGAGCCUGUAAGGCAGAGGAGCUAUUAAAAAGAAAAGGCAAAGUUGAGACAGAGAUACAAGAUACAAAGAAGAGACAGAUGAGCAGAUCAUUUCAGGCUACAUCCAAGAGGCCCAAAGAGUUUUCUACCAGAUCUAGCUUUUCGGCAGGGCAAUCUAGUCAGAAUAGAGGUAGCAGAUUUAAGGAUCCGAAGGCUCAGACCACCUCGACUACGAGUGUAGGUAAUGUCAGACAGGGUAGAUCAGGGUGUCCACGGUGUGGUAGACUUCGUUAUGGUCCUUGUCGGGCAGGCGAAAAUGUUUACUAUAAAUGUGGUGCUCCAGAUCAUUUUGUACGAGAAUGUCCAGAAGUGGCUAGCCGAGAGGUAACACAGAGUGCUAGAUCCGGAAAUGCUCCUACUAGAGGCAGAUCACCGAGGCAACUAGGAGUAGGAGCAAGUAACAGAGGUACCUCUAGAGAUUCGACUGUGAGACCAGAUGUUAGAGCCCCUGCAAGGACUUAUGCUAUUCGUGCACGCGAAGAGGCAUCCUCCCCCGAUGUGAUUACGGGUACAUUUUCUCUACAUGAUAUUAAUGUCAUUGCUCUGAUUGAUCCGGGUUCGACUCAUUCUUAUGUUUGUAUGAAAUUGAUGCCUAGUAUAAGUAUGCCUAUAGAAUCUACAAAAUUUGUGAUUAAAGUAUCGAAUCCAUUAGGCAAGCAUGUAUUAGUAGAUAAAGUAUGUAGAAAUUGUCCUUUAAUGAUUAGAGGCUACUAUUUUCCGGCCGAUCUCAUGCUAUUGCCAUUUGAUGAGUUUGAUGUGAUUCUUGGUAUGGAUUGGUUGACUACUCAUGAUGUGAUAGUGAAUUGUGGAAAGAAAUUCAUUGAGUUGAAGUGUGAAAAUGGUGAAAUUCUUCGGGUUAAUUCAGAAGAGUCAGAUAGUUCAUUUCCCAUAAUUUCUAUUAUGUCUGCUCAGAAAUACUUGAGAAAAGGGUAUGAAGCUUAUCUUGUUUUUGUGUUGAACACUAAAGAUCCAGAAUUGAAAAUUAAAUCAGUGCCUGUGGUAUGUGAGUUUCACGAUGUGUUUCCGGAAGAACUACCAGGUUUGCCUCCUGUUAGAGAAGUUGAGUUUGGUAUUGAGUUGAUUCCAGGUACCUCGCCCAUUUCUAUUGCUCCUUAUAGAAUGGCUCUAUUGGAAUUGAAAGAAUUGAAAGCUCAGUUGCAGGAAUUAACAGAUAAAGGCUUUGUAAGACCCAGUAGUUCACCAUGGGGUGCACCAGUGCUAUUUGUGAAAAAAAAAGACGGAUCGAUGAGAUUGUGCAUAGAUUAUCGGCAACUUAACAAGGUAACAGUAAAGAACAAGUAUCCAUUGCCUAGAAUUGAUGAUUUGUUUGAUCAAUUGAAGGGAGCUACUGUGUUUUCCAAGAUAGAUUUGAGAUCCGGAUACUAUCAGUUGCGAGUUAAAGAGUCAGAUGUCCUGAAGACUGCUUUCCGGACUAGGUAUGGUCAUUAUGAGUUCCUUGUGAUGCCAUUUGGCUUGACUAAUGCUCCUGCCAUUUUCAUGGACUUAAUGAACCGAAUUUUUAGACCAUACUUAGAUAAGUUUGUAGUUGUGUUCAUUGAUGAUAUUUUGAUUUAUUCUCAUGAUGAGACUGAGCAUGCAGAGCAUUUGAGAAUAGUUUUACAAAUUCUGAGAGAUAAUUAGUUGUAUGCCAAGUUCAGCAAAAGUGAGUUCUGGUUACGAGAAGUUGGAUUUCUUGGACAUAUUGUCUCAGGUGAAGGUAUUAAGGUUGAUACGAGUAAGAUUUCAGCCAUUGUUGAUUGGAAGCCUCCUAGAAAUGUAUCAGAAGUUAGAAGUUUUCUUGGUCUUGCCGGAUAUUAUAGACGAUUUGUGGAAGGAUUUUCCAUGAUAGCUACCCUGUUGACGAGACUGCUACGGAAGGAUGUUAAGUUUGAAUGGACUGAGAAGUGCCAACAAAGUUUUGACAAGUUAAAGGCAUUGUUGACGGAAGCUCCUAUCUUAGUACAGCCGGAACCGGGUAAAGAAUUUAUGAUUUACAGUGAUGCAUCCUUGAAUGGGCUCGGUUGUGUACUCAUGCAGGAAGGAAAGGUAAUUGCUUAUGCCUCUAGACAAUUGAAGCCACAUGAGAAAAAUUAUCCGACACAUGAUUUAGAGCUAGCUGCUAUUGUAUUUGCAUUGAAGAUUUGGAGACAUUAUUUGUAUGGUGAAAGGUGCCGGAUAUUUACUGAUCAUAAAAGCUUGAAAUACUUGAUGACUCAAAAAGACUUGAAUUUGAGGCAAAGAAGAUGGUUGGAAUUGCUUAAAGAUUAUGAGUUAGUGAUUGAUUAUCACCCAAGUAAGGCAAAUGUAGUUGCUGACGCUUUAAGUAGGAAACUUUUAUUUACAUUGCGAAAUUUGAAUACCAAUUUAGCCAUGUCAGAUGAUGGUUCUAUUUUAGCUGAAUUUAGAGCUAAACCGGUAUUUCUUGAAGAGAUUUGUGAAGCUCAGAAAGAUGAUAAUGAGUUACAAGCUAAAAGAGUUCAAUGUGAGUCAGGCAUAGAAUCAGAUUUCUGGAUUGGUUCUGAUGGUUGUUUGAUGUUUAGAGACAGAAUUUGUGUACCAAAGAAUGAUGAGCUUAUUCGAAAGAUUUUACAGGAAGCACAUAGCAGUUCUUUAUCUAUUCAUCCAGGCAGUACAAAAAUGUAUAAUGAUUUGAAGAAAUUGUAUUGGUGGGUAGGAAUGAAAAGAGAUAUUUCAGAGUUUGUUUCUAGAUGCUUGAUUUGUCAACAGGUAAAGGCCGAACAUCAGGUACCCUCAGGAUUAUUGCAACCUGUGCUAGUUCCGGAAUGGAAAUGGGACAGAGUUACUAUGGAUUUUGUGACAGGAUUGCCGUUAACACUGAAAAAGAAAGAUGCAGUAUGGGUUGUGAUUGAUAAGCUAACUAAGUCGGCUCAUUUUAUCCCAAUCCGUAUGGAUUAUUCACUUGACAAGUUGGUCGAGUUAUACAUUUCAGAGAUAGUUAGACUACAUGGAGUGCCAUUAUCGAUCAUUUCAGACAGAGAUCCAAGAUUUACUUCACGGUUCUGGAAGAAGUUACAAGAGGCUUUAGGUACGAAGUUGAGUUUUAGUACGACUUUUCACCCUCAGACUGAUGGUCAGUCAGAGAGAGUUAUUCAGGUACUUGAAGAUAUGCUUAGAUGUUGUGUAUUAGAAUUUCAAGGUAGUUGAGAAAAAUACUUACCAUUGGUAGAGUUUGCCUACAAUAAUAGUUAUCAGUCAAGUUUGAAGAUGGCACCUUAUAAAGCUUUGUAUGGACGUAAAUGCCGCACACCUUUAUAUUGGAUAGAGCUUAAAGAAAGCCAGAUUUACGGGGUUGAUCUAGUUAAAGAAACAGAAGAAAAAGUGAAAGUUAUCAGAAAUUGUUUAAAAGCAGCUUCAGACAGGCAGAAGUCGUAUGCAGAUUUAAAAAGAAAAGAGAUCGAAUAUCAAGUUGGUGACAAAGUUUUUUUGAAAGUAUCCCCGUGGAAGAAAGUUCUCAGAUUUGGCAAGAAAGGCAAACUAAGUCCACGUUUUAUUGGACGUUUGUAGUGAUUGAGAGAGUCGGACCAUUAGCAUAUCGGUUAGCUUUGCCGAUUGAGUUAGAGAAGAUUCAUAAUGUAUUUCAUGUGUCUAUGCUACGUCGUUAUCGUUCAGAUCUGUCACAUGUGAUUUCUCAGACAGAGGUUGAGAUUCAGCCAGACAUGACUUACGGUGAAGAACCGGUAAAGAUUCUAGCUCGAGAGGUAAAGCAAUUAAGGAACAAAAGUAUUGUACUUGUGAAAGUACUAUGGAAUAGACAUGGGGUAGACGAGGCUACAUGGGAACCCGAAAAGGCUCUGCGAAAACAGUACCCAUAUCUCUUCACAGGUAUGAUUUUCGGGACGAAAAUCCCUAAAGGGGGGAGAAAUGUAACAUUCCGAAAUAGGGCCUAAACGGAACAGUGGUUGCGAAACCACAAAUUUGAGGUAGAAAAAAAAUUAUAUUAUUAUUUUUUUGAGGUUCAUGGUAUGAUUACAUGAUUGUGCGAAAAUUUCGUGAUAAAAUUCUAUGCAUAAAGUGCUUAAGUUGAGGUUAGGGACUAAAUCGAAUAAUUUGUAAAACUUGCAUUCUAGAAGUUUUAGUAUGAAAUUAUUUUGGAAUAUUAAUUAGGAGAUCUUAAAUGGUAAUUUGACCAAUUUUAAGUUCAUGGACAAAAUUAGGACAUGGAAGGAAUUUUUGAAAGUUUAGUAAGGAGGGGUAUUUUGGUCAUUUGGUUAUUAACAUUAAUAAAAAGGUAAAAAGAUGAUAAAAUUGUAUCAUCUUCUUCAAGUUACCAGCCGAACCUUACCUCUCUCCAUAGCUGGGGUUUCUUCAACUUUCAAGCUUUAUAGUAAGUGAUUCCAAGCCCCGUUUUUAAUGAUCUUUGCGUUUUUUAAGUCCCGGUAGCUCGAUAAAGCUUAUGCUAGCAAUAAUUUAGUUAGGAAUCAAAUUUGGAAAAAUACCCAUAGGUGAAAUUUGUGUUUUUUGAUGUUUUAUGAUGGAAUAUGAGGCUUUAAAUUAUGUUAGACAACUUGUGCUACUUGGUUUUAAGUGAAAACGAGUAAAAAGGCUUAAUCGGUAAAAAUACCUAAUAGUCAUAAGUACAUGUUAGUGUGUGAAUUUGAUGUUGUCAUAGAAAGGAAAAAUGAUCAGUAUGUUAUAAAACAUAAGAAAAUAGGAUGAAGUUUAAUUUACGAGCCUUGGGGCAAAAGUGCAAAUAUGUGAAAGUUUAGGGGCAAAAAUGUGAUUUUGCCAAAGAUUGAGUAAAGGGUUGUUUUGAUAAAUGUUGAUAUUAAAUAAGCUAAAUUUGCUAUUAUAGAUCAAGAAGAGUGAAAUUCAGGAGUAGAUCGGGGAAAAGAAAAAGUAAAGGACUAAAUUGUAAACUUUAGUCACAUUUUGUAUCGAGGUAAGUUUACCGUAAAUAAAUGCAAUAUUCUUUUAUUUUACAUUAUUAUUGUCAAUUUCCAGCAUUUAUAUAUUUAUGUUAUGAAAAUAUUUAAAGUCGAAUUUAAGGUGAAGUGAUAGAGGAAAAGUGUUAGAAAGCCCCGGUUGAACCCUAGGAAUGUUAGGAUAUUAGGGUUGACAGGACAGAACAGAAAUGAGCCAUGUAAGUCCAUAUUAGAAAUAUGGCUUUGGAGACAGGAUUGAGCCAUGUAAGUCCAUAUUAUAUAUGGCAUUGGAGACAGGAAUAAUUCAUGUAAGUCCAUGUCAAAGACAUGGCAUUAGCAGGGUAUUGAUAGACAGGAAUGACCCUAGUAUCCUUAGUAGUCCGAGUGGUUCAACGGGUCAGAAUACGAGUUAAAUUACAGUGAAUUAACAGUAAAGGAAAAGUAGAUUAUAUUUAUGAAAAAGGAAAGGUCAGGUAAGAAAGAAGGUAAGGGAAUAAAGAAGAAGAUAGAAAUUGAGAAGUAAAGAAAUUUAUGAUGUUAGAUGAUAUUAUGCAUAAUUAUCCAUUAUGUUGAAUGUUGUGAUUUAUUUGCUUGUAAGCUUACUAAGCCUAGUGCUUAAUCUCUUUAUUUUCUUCUUCUUAUAGUACUUAUCUAGCCACUCGGGGAUCGAAGGAAACGUCGGAGGCCGAUCACACUAUCAAAGAAAUAACUCGGUAUAAUUAGACGUUUUGUUUUGUGUAUGGCAUGUAUAGAAACUUAGCUACUUUUGGUAUAAUAUGAACAAUGAAUGAUGUGUAAAUACUUGCUAGUGAUUAGCUAAUAAAAAUGGCCGAUGAUAUGCAUGUUUAUUAAUAUGUAUGAUUGAAUGGUGAUUAUCACAUGAAAAUUAUGAAAAAUGUGAAAGUAACCUAAAAACAGCUUAAAGUAACAGAAAUGACGUAACUUUGAAAAAUCACUAAAAAUUGUAGAAACAUAGUUUGAAGAUGAAUAAUAUAUUAAAUUAAAGCUUAUUAUGUCUAUUUUCUUAUGGAAUAAGAAAAACAGGUAAAUGUAUUAUAUUAUAUGAUAUAUCUGAGUUUUAGUGAAACAGGGUUAGAGCGAUUUCUGGAUCCCCUGUUUCAACUUUGGAAAUUCACCAUAAAUUGUAAAAAACUAAUUAGAAGGUUUACUUUAUAUGGUUAUAAUCCUUUUUGAGUCUAGUUUUAAGAGAACAAACGGCUUAGCGAUAUGAAUUUUGUACAGAAAGAAACAUGGUUUGUAGCAAGAAGAGGUUAGUGCAGUCGAGUUUUUAAACAAGGGAAACUUUAACUAAUAAACUGUACUAAUUGGCCAAGUCAAAAAUCUAUGAAAAAAUUAGUGGAUAGAUAUAUGAGUCUAGUUUCAGGAGAAAUUUACGGAUCUUAAUUUUGAGUUUUGGAACUCAAGAUAUGAAUUUUUAGGCGACUACGACGCAGAAUGGCAGCACAUUCCGAAAAGCUUAAAUAAACAAUUUAAAACUAUUUAAGUGAUAGAUUAAGUUUAGUAAUGCCUCGUGCUCGAUUCUGGCAACAGUCUCGGGUAAGGAGUGUUACAUGGUGCCAGUCAGGAAGAGGAAGUUCAUAGUAGAAUACAGACUUCUGAGCAAGGAACAAGUGGUAAUGUCCCGAUUUCUUUGAUGACAGAGGAAGAACUUAAAAAUAUGAUUUACGGAUUAAUGAAUCAGUGGUAUCAUGAAACAAUACAAGGAAGAAGUCAGGCAUAACAACCUCCUCCUCCCCCUACUGUACCACCAGUUACAACCCCGGUUGCUCGUCCUUUAACAGAUGAAUCUAGCAAAAGAACACCAAUUGAAAAACUCAGAAAGUUUGGAGCUGAAGAAUUUCGAGGGAGAUCGGACGAUGAUCCGGUUAAAGCAGAGUAUUGGUUAAAGAGUUUAGAGAGAGUUUUUAAACAGAUGAUGUGUUUUCCAGAGGACUAUUUGAGAUGUGUAGUUUCGCUAUUGAAAGAAGAAGCGUAUAAUUAGUGGGAAACCAUUGAGGCAGUGGUACCUGCAGAUAAACUUACCUGGGAAUUCUUCCAAAACAAAUUUAAGAAUAAGUAUGUGGGAAAGAGAUAUUUAGAUAAGAAGAAGAGAUAAUUUCUUGAUCUUCGAUAAGGGAAUAAAAUAGUGGCCGAAUAUGAAAGAGAAUUUGUGUAUCUCAGUAGAUAUGCUCGGGAUGUUGUACCGAUAGAAGAAGAAAUGUGCAUUAGAUUUGAAGAAGGGCUUAAUGAUGAAAUCAGAAUGAUGAUUGGAGGUACAGAGAUUCGAGAAUUUGUGGUUCUGUCUGAUCGAGCUCAAAAGAUGGAAGAAGUGUAUAACAAAAAGAUGCAAAGAGAAAGAAGAGGUAAAGAGGUAUACAAAAUAAAUUUCUCUAGACCAACUUCGACUUUUUCGGCCAAAAGUUCAGAGAUGAUUCUAGUCGACCUGUUACAAUUCCGGAACGAUCGAAUAAAAGUAAAACGACUCAACAAGAUGUCGGAGUAACUAAGAAACCAGCAGCUAGUGUUAGUAGUGUGCAAAAUAUUCCGAGACUUAGAUGUAAAAAUUGUGGUAGAUUUCAUAUUGGUGAGUGUUGGGGAAGAGCCGGAGGUUGCUAUAAAUGUGGUGGAACUGAUCAUUUUAUUCGAGAUUGUCCUCAAUUAUUAAAAGAAGACAAAGAACAAGGGGAGAAGUAAGCAAGUACUCCUCAGAAAGGUAAACGUUCAGGUCAAAGUAGUGCUGCUGGGACUGUUCAUUCGGGAACGAGAGAUACUACAGCUCGAUCAGAUACAAGAGCACCUGCACAUACAUAUGCUAUCCGGACAAGAGAAGAAGCUUGAUGAUUUUGUGUAUGCUUUAAUUGAUCCUGGUUCUACACAUUCAUAUAUUUGCACUGCAUUAGUGUCAGAAAAGAAAAUGACUGUUGAGUCCACUGACCUUGAAUUGUAAGUCACUAAUCCACUAGGGCAAAGUGUGUGGGUUAAUUUAAUAUGUCGGAAUUGUCCACUGAAAAUACAAGGCUGUAAAUUCUCUGCUGAUUUAACGUUGUUACCUUUCCGAGAAUUUGAUGUUAUUCUUGGAAUGGAUUGGUCGAUUAAACACGAUGUCAUAGUGAAUUGUAGAGAAAGACGGAUUAAUUUAAAAUGUCAGGCAGGGGAAAUAGUUUCAGCUGAGUUUGGGGAUAAUAAGAAUGAUGUCAGAAUUAUUUCACCCUUUACAGCUCGGAAAUUGAUUCGAAAAGGUAAUAAAGCAUUUUUAGCUUAUAUUCUUGAUACUCGAGGUUCUGAAUUGAAGAUGGAACAAUUGUCAGUUGUUAAUGAGUUUACUGAUGUGUUUCUUGAGGAAUUACCUGGUUUACCCCCAGAUCGUGAGGUUGAAUUCACAGUUGAUGUAAUUUUGGGUACAGCUCCGAUAUCAAUAACACCGUAUAGAAUGGCACCAGCUAAGUUAAAAGAGUUGAAGACACAGUUGCAAGAGUUAUUAGAUAAAGGGUUCAUCAGACCGAGUAUAUCACCUUGGGGUGCACCUGUCUUAUUUAUGAAAAAGAAAUAUGGUUCGUUGCGAUUGUGUAUUGAUUACAGGCAGUUGAACAAGGUAACAAUUAAAAAUAAAUAUCCAUUACCUCGUAUCGAUGAUUUGUUUGAUCAACUGAAAGGUGUUGCAGUGUUCUCAAAAAUAGACCUUAGAUCUGGGUAUUAUCAGAUGAAGGUUAAAGAGUGUGAUGUGCCAAAAACUACUUUUCGAACUCGGUAUGGUCACUACGAAUUUUUCGUAAUGCCUUUUGGUUUAACGAAUGCCCCUGCUGCAUUUAUGGAUUUAAUGAAUCGAAUUUUUCAAUCUUAUUUGGAUAGAUUUGUGGUGGUAUUUAUUGAUGACAUAUUGGUCUAUUCAAAGACAGAAUCUGAACAUGCACAGCACUUGAGAAUUGUACUACAGACUUUGAGAGAAAAACAGUUAUAUGCGAAAUUUAGUAAAUGUGAGUUUUGGCUUCAUGAGGUUGGAUUUCUGGGUCAUAUUAUAUCAGCUGAAAGAAUUCGUAUGGAUCCAAGUAAAGUUUCGGCAGUGGUGAAUUGGAAAACACCGAAGAAUGUAACUGAAGUACGAAGUUUUCUAGGAUUAGCAGGAUACUAUCGCUGUUUUGUAAAGAAUUUUUCCAUGAUUGCUUCACCAAUGACUCGUUUAUUACAGAAGAAUGCUGAGUUUAUGUGGUCUGAUGAAUGUCAGCAGAGCUUUGAUCAGUUAAAGAAAAUGUUAACAGAAGCUCCAGUCUUGACUCAACCAGAAUCAGGUAUACCGUAUGUUGUGUACAGUGAUGCAUCUUUAAGUGGUUUCGGUUGUGUGUUAAUGCAGUCGAGAAAGGUGGUGGCUUAUGCUUCACGGCAAUUAAAACCACAUGAAAAGAAUUACCCUACACAUGAUCUUGAGUUAGCUGCAAUUGUUUUUGCUUUAAAAAUUUGGAGACACUAUUUAUAUGGUGAAAAGUGUUAUAUGUAUACGGAUCACAAAAGUUUGAAAUACUUAAUGACUAAGAAGGAACUGAACUUAAGACAGAGACGGUGGUUAGAGUUGCUGAAACACUAUGAUUUGGUUAUUGACUAUCAUCCAGGGAAAGCUAACGUAGUUGCUGAUGCACUGAGUCGAAAGUCAUCCUUGUUUGCACUUCGGGCAAUGAAUGCUCAUUUGGCUCUUAGUGAAGAAGGUGUUGUACUAGUAGAAUUGAAGGUAAAACCAAUGUUUCUUCAACAAAUUCAGAAGCUGCAGAAUGAAGAUCCAAAAUUGGUGCUGAAACGGCAAAUGGUUCGGGAUAAUUUAGAUUCAGAGUUCAGUAUUGAUGAUGAAGGUAUAUUGCGCUAUCAUAGUAUGAUUUGUGUUCCAAAUAAUUCUGAUUUAAAUAAUGAUAUUCUUUCUGAAGCACAUAAUAGUAUGUAUUCUAUUCAUCCGGGUAGUACAAAGAUGUAUGGUGAUCUGAAAAAGACAUAUUGGUAGCCUGGUAUGAAAAGAGAAAUUUCAGAAUUUAUUGCAAAAUGUUUGAUUUGCCAGCAAGUUAAAGCAGAGCAUCAAGUGCCAACGACUUUAUUACAACCCAUUAUGAUUCCUGAAUGGAAGUGGGAGCAUAUUUCAAUGGAUUUUGUGUCAAGAUUGCCUGUGACUCCAAGAAAGAAAGAUUUGAUAUGGGUGAUUGUUGAUAGAUUGACAAAGUCAGCACACUUUAUUCCAGUCAGAACAGAUUUUUCACUUAAGAAGUUAGCAGAAUUGUAUGUGUUAGAGAUUGUGAGACUACAUGGAGUUCAAGUAUCUAUAAUUUCAGACCAGGAUCCAAGGUUUACUUCAAGAUUUUGGAAUAAGUUGCAAGAAACUUUAGGCAGCAGAUUGAAUUUUAGUACAGCAUUUCAUCCUCAAACAGAUGGACAGUCAGAGCGAGUGAUUCAAAUUUUAGAAGAUAUGUUAAGAUGUAGUAUACUCGAGUUUGGUGACAGUUGGGAAAGGUAUUUACCGUUAGCUGAGUUUGUUUACAACAAUAACUAUCAAUCUAGUAUAAAAAUGGCACCAUUUGAGGCUUUUUAUGGUAGAAAAUGCAAGACUCCAUUGUGUUGGUCUGAAUUGAGUGAAUCAAAAAUAGUUGGGGUUGAUUUGAUUCGAGAAAUCGAAGAGAGAGUCCGGAUUAUUCGAGAUAGUCUAAAAGUUGCUUCAGACCGUCAGAAGUCAUAUACAGAUUUAAAACGAAGAGACAUAGAAUAUGUUGUGGGUGAUCGAGUAUUUUUAAAAGUUUCACCGUGGAAAAAGGUGUUACGGUUUGGUAAAAAGGGAAAAUUAAGUCCGAGAUUCAUAGUGCCAUAUGAAAUUGUGGAAAGGAUUGGUCCUGUGGCUUAUCGUUUGGCUUUACCUCCGGAACUUGAGAAGAUUCACAAUGUGUUUCAUGUGUCUAUGCUAAGGCGGUAUAGGUCAGAUCCUUCACACGUAAUUCCCCAUACUGAAAUUGAGCUUCAACCAGAUAUGACUUAUUCAGAAGAACCAGUGAAGAUUUUGGCUCGUGAAGUUAAAGAAUUGCGGAACAAAAGAGUCCAUUGGUUAAAGUAUUAUGGCAUCGACAUGGUAUGGAGGAGGCAACCUGGGAAACAGAGGAGUUAAUGAGAUCACAGUAUCCAAGUCUAUUUUCAGGUAACAAAUUUUGAGGACGAAAUUUUUAAAGGGGGAGAGUUGUAACGACCUAAUUUUCAGUGGUGUCGGAAAUGGUGAUUUGAGAUCACUAAAUCUGACAAAUAAGAUUGAACAAGAUAGUAAUUUAAUAUUUAUGAGUCAAGUAAGGAUUUAGAAGAAUUUUUGAAAUGGUGAAAUUAGUGAAUUAAAAGAAUUUAUUAGGUCAAACGGGUCAAAAACGAGGUAUCGAGACCUCAAAAUUGAAAAUCGAGCUAUAAAUAUUUUUAUAAAUAUUUAUGGAGUGUCAUUGAGUUAGUAUUAAAGUUUUGUUAGAAAAUUUUAACGUUUGGAUGGCUAAUUAAUUAAAAAGGACUAAAUUGAAAAUAGCGCAAAAUUUGUUAAAUUGUGAGUAAAUAGCUUAAGUAUUUAAAAAUAUGGAUUUAAAUUGCAAUUAGACCCAAAGGUUAAUGGCUGGAUGGUUUGGGUAUGAAAUAAGCAAGAAAACAAUGUGAACAAGGGGCAAAAUUGGAAAUAGUAUAAAAGUUAAUAGUUAAAUAAUGAUGUAAUUGAAAAAUCUAGACAUUUCUUCAUAUUUUCUCAGCAAAAAUGCCAUAGAAGGCCUGGAGAAAGCUGGUUUUUCAUAAUUUUACAUCAUGUGAGUUUAAUUCUUAUUUUUUCUUGAUAAUUUUUAUGUUUUUAUGACUUUUACAAUUAGGUCCACUUAUAGAAUUCAUUAGUUUUUGAUUUUAUGGGUGAAAUUGGAAGUUACCCUGGAUGGAUAAGGGAAGUUUAUGAUGAAUUAUUAUGAAAUUUAAGUUUUAAUUUCAUAUUAAGGUGGUUGUAUUAAGUGAUUUUGAUAGGAAAUGAUAUUUAGGACCUAAUUGUGAAAAAGUUAUGAAUUGAAGGUUUCUGUUGAAAUUCAGAAUAUAAAACGUUUUGAAAUAGUUUAUAAUGAUAAAAUAAAGUGUUAAUUGAGAAAAUUUAGUUCAAUUGAUGGGUGAAUUGAGCAGGAACUAAAUUGUGAAAACUGUAAAUUUUGGGGUAAAAGUGCAAUUUCGAAAUUUGAACAGCAUAAAUUGUGAAGUGAAAUAGAAAUCAAAUAAAUGCUAAUGAGUAGAAAUAUUUUAUAUUAUAGAUCAAAAAUCCAAAGAAGAACGAGGAAAAGAAAAAGUUGCGGAAUAGUCCCUAAAUUUCAAUAUCUUCUACAAAUUAGCCGGGUAAGUUCAUAUGGUUGAAUUUAAUGUUUAUUUGUGAAUGAUUGAAGUAUAUAAUGUGUUAUUAUAUACGAAUUUGUUGUGGGACUGUGUAGAUUUUGUUAAUGAAAGAAUAAAUGUGGAAAUGCAAAUUAGGAAAAACGUAGGAUUGAGUACGUUCGUAUCGUGACGUGUGAUGAAUUGACGGAUAAGACUAUGGUUGUUCCAUGGCAAAGUGUGAAAUGUAGGUAUGGUAUGAUCCAUACUGAGUUGUGAAAUGUAGGUAUGGUAUUAUCCAUACUGAGCUGUGAAAUGUAAGUAUGGUAUUAUCAAAUCCAUACUGAAUUAAGAAAUGUAGGUAUGGCAUUUCCCAUACCGAGUUGAAAAAUGUAGGUAUGGUAUUUCAAUGAGGAAAACCAUACUGAGUUGUGAAUCGUGGCAUUGAGCAAUGACAUACUCAAUUUCGUAAGCCGUUUCCUAAUUUGAUUAUAAGAAAUAAAAGAGAAGUGAUCCAAAUGAAAGAGAUUGAGUAGUUGUUACUGUUGAGCUCAACUAUGUGAAUUAUUAUAACAAUGGUUGUGAAUCGCAGGAAACUUUAGUAAAUGUUUUGGUAUUGUUUGGAAAUAUUAUGUUUGGUAAGCAUUACUUUUAAACCUAUGAACUUACUAAGCUUCAAUAAGCUUACUUGUGCGUGUUUAAUAUUUUUAUGUAGAUUGACUUGAAGUGAAGUGGGUAGAUUGGAUCAACACAACGAAGCACACUAUCCAGAUCAAUUCCGGUAGCUUUUGUUUUAUGUUUGAAGAUUUAUAUGGCAUGUAUAGAGUUUAAAUGAAAUGAAGUAAAGAUGUUAACAUUUUGUACUAAAACAAUUUUUGGUUAGUAGUAGUAGUUUGACUUUGAAAAUUCACCAUAAAUUAUGAAAAUCUCAUUAGAGGUUGAAUAAAAUAUGAAAUUAAAUCUUAUUUAAUAUAGUUUCACAUAGAAGAAACGGUGUAAGAAAAAGGCUUUCAUAUCAGGAGAUAUUUGAAUUUUUGUGAGACAAUGUCAGAGUGAUUUUUAACUCCCCUGUUCUGAUUUGUAAAAAUCAUUAAAAAUUGUAAAAAAAUAUUUAGGAGUCAUACUAUAUAGAUAUGGAUUCCUUAUUGAGUCUAUUUUUAAGAGAAAUAAUCGUCUUGGUUAUUUGAAUUCUAUACAUGGAGAAAUUUGGUUCGUAGUGCACAGGGGUCAGAGUAGUCGAUCCCUGAAACAGGGGAGACUUCAACUAAUAAACUGUACUAAUUGGCCCAACCAAAAAUUCUAGAAAAAAAAUUAGUAAGUAGAUAUAUGAGCCUAGAUUCGGAUAAAAUUUAUGGAUUUGUAUUUCGAGUUUUUUAACUCAAUAUAUGAUUUUUUCUGCGUCUGUAAUGCAGUUGGACAGCUUGUCUUGAAAGUGUGAUAUAAAUUGUUUGAAUUUGUUUAAGUGCUCAAAUAAGUUUAGUAAUGCCUCGUGCUCGACUCCGACGAUGGUCUCGGGUAAAGGGGGUGUUACAUCAACUUCUAGUAGUUGGCAAUCUAUAUCUAAUUGGGGACGUUAUGAAACACCCAGAAGAAGGGAUGAUGUACUCCUUACGACGUUCACAGGUGAGGGGACCUCGUACGUUGCAGAUGAUAGUGGGUUAGAUAAUGAGUCUGAUGUGGAUCCACCUCGAAAGCCCAGCUCCGAUGGUGCAGAAACUGUAUUAUUUUUUGAAUCGGAGCCUAUUUGAACCGAACCUGAACAUGUUGAACGGGGUUCAGAUGAAGAAGAAGAUCCACGAUUCAGGGCAUACUCGCCUCCAGCCCGCAUGCAUAAUUAUGAUCUAUCUGCAGAUGAUGUGUUGGAGUUUCUAGAUCUACAACACAGAAAGCCUGAUCAUACAAGUUCGUUAUUUGAUUCAGGUGAAUUGAAAGUUGGUAAUGAGUUUUCUAAUAAGGAUAGUUUUCUUGGUGCAUUGAAACAACAUAGCAUUAUGAACGAGGUUAACUACCAUGUUUUUAAUUUAAAUCCGAUAAGUUUGAUGCGAAGUGUCUUGUGUAAGACAGUACAUGUUCAUUGAAAAUCUAUGCCUCAUUUAGGAAAAAGAUAGAGUUGUGAGAGAUAAUGUAACGUCCCCUAACCCUAUACCGUCACCGGAACAGGGUUACGAGACAUUACCAGUUAGUACAGUCCAAUUUCGAUCAUUAAUUAAAAUAAAUAUUCACACACAUCCUAGUUUUAAGAUGUGGUCCCUUUAAUGGGCCCUUGCGAUCCAAUAUGAACAGUAAAUUCAAUUCGGAACUAAUUUAGAAUCACUACGAAUUUUUAGUAAAUUUCAAAAUUCAUACUAUAUACCGUUACCAACCAUAAUUCACUUAUUUCAUCAAUACUUUUACAACCUAAAUGACUCUCAUUAAACAUCCUGGGUACAUGCCAUUAUCAAUACUCAACAUACUUUACCUUAAUGAAUUCGGGAUCGUCCUGGGAUACUGAUUCAACGUACUAUCUUUACUUAACCUGCGCACGGAAACAAACCGUACGCUGAGUAUGGUAUACUCAGUGACAUUUCUAUAAUCCGAACAUUUAAUAAUAUAACAAAUACUUAAGAUCAUAAUAACAAUUACAAUUAUGCAAUUAUUUAUUCAUAGAUAAAUUUCAACUACUUACCAUAUAAAUUUUAUACAAAUCAUAUAAUAAACACAAUAACAUAAUUGUUCAAUUCUUAACUAAGUCCAUUAUUAUUUACUCUAUUCUUUCACUUACUACUCGGUAUAGCUUUCCUUAAUUUACUCACAAUUCAAUAUCAUUAAACUAUAUUCAACUAUACACUUAUCAAUCAUAUUCCAUUUUAAUUCAUUUCAAUAACUGUCAAUUUCAUUUAUAUCAUAUCAACUUACUAUCCCUGGUAGCUUUCAGUAUAUACAUACGAUUCCUAUAUCUCAAAUCACAUUUCAAUUCAUCAAGUGGCAUCAUAUAUCAUCAAUUCGAACUCCAAUCAUUUCAUGAACCUUUGGUUCAUAUUUUCAAUUUCAUAUCUAAAUUUUCAAUUCUCAAUUCAAUUUCUCGUUUCAUUUCAAUAGCUUGAUCAAUCAAAUUUAUUCGAUUUAUCUUUCACUUAUUUACCCCUAUUAACAAAUUCGGACUUUGACGGAUUCACGGAUUCCAACCCAAACACACCAGUACGACACAUUGUGCCUAAAACGGUACAUAGUACCUGAUCACUAUACGACACAUAAAGUGCCUAAAACGACACACGAGGUGCCUGAUACGACACACGAGGUGCUUGAAAUACGAUCACACACGAGGUGCCUGAUCGAUAAAGCUGGCAAAUCCCGUACACUUCCAUAUCCUAUGGCAUGCCAACUAUAUCCGACUCAGCCCGACUAGUUAAUAGGGUAUUUCAUUCACUUUCUCAAUUUAAUAAUUCUUUCAUCAAUAUCUCAUCCGAUAAUUACACAUAUUUACCCAUUUUCACAAUUCAUACAAUUUCAUUCAAUUCAACAAAUAUAUUUCAAUUAUGCACAUUAAUUCAUAAUUCAAUACAAUUCAAUUCACUUUUCAAUACCAAAUAUUCAAAUAUCACAAUCUCAUAUAUUCAUAUCAAUUUCCUCAUAUUUCCAAUCAAAAUAUUUUUUAAUAUAACAUUCAUUCAAUAUUCAAAUUUCUACACAAGUCAUAUAUAUAUAUAUUAUAUAAUUCAAUCAAUAUAAUUUCAAUCAAAAUAAUUUCAAUCAAUAUAAAUUCAAUAAAUUCAUCGCAUACUAAAAUCAAUCUAUUUCAAUUGUAAAACAUCAUAAUUCAAUCACUAACAUUUUCCAUAUGUAUAUAAAUAUAAUAAAUAAUGACUAAGUUCGGAUUAUAGAAAUACAAACAGUCAUUUUCGAGCUAACUCCCGUUGACUUUGUCUUGUCCUUUCUUAGCCGAGAUUUCCGGUACCACAUUGACUAUGAAAUUAAUACAAUUCAUAAUCAUUAAUACAUUACUAAUUCAUAUCUUGAGUUACAGAAUUCUAAAUUAAGAUCCGCUAAUUUUUCCUGAAACUAGACUCACAAAUCUUCUCACAAUAAAAUUUCCAGAAUUUUUGGUUUAGCCAUUAAGUACAGUUUAUUCUUUAAAUUCACCCCUAUUCUACUGUCUGACAGUUUCGUCCCUUCUUCACUAAAAAUUAAUUAUCUCACAGUGCAGAAUUCGGAUAAUAUUCCCGUUGAUUUCUCCUGAAAAUAGACUAAUUAGGAAUUCUAAAAAUAUAACUUUAAACCUCUAAUUAUUUUUCUUCAAUUUUUGGUGAUUUUCCAAAAUCAGAACAGGGAAACCCAAAUUCAUUCUGACCUUGUCUUACAAAAUUCAUUAUAUCUCAUAAUUUACAAUUCAAUUUCUUAUACCGUUUCUUCUAUAAGAAACUAGACUCAAUAAGCUUUAAUUCCAUAUUUUAUUCAUCCUCUAAUUCAAUUUCUACAAUUUUUAGCGAUUUUUCAAACUUAGACUACUGCUGCUGUCCAAAAUAGUCUUAGUACAAAAUGUUGAUUUACUUUAAUUUCAAUUUAAUCCUAACUAAAUUCACUUACUUUUCUAUCUUAAUUCAUACUUUAUUUCUACUCAAUUUUUAACCAAACUUAGACAUAAUUAUCUAUUUUUCAUCAUAAAACCAUAAUUUCGAAAUUCUUUCAAUUUAGUCCUUAAAGCAUAAAACUUAUGAAUCACUUUACAAUUCAAUCCUUAUAUCAUUUCUAACUUGAAUUUCUAUCAAUCUAGCCCUUAAUUCAUCAUUUUACUUAACAUGGACAAUAUCUAGUAAUCUAAUAACUUUCAAAAUAUCAACUUAAUUUCAUCAAAACUUUGUUCUAAAACUUCUAAAACAUCAAAAUUAAGUAAAAAGGAUUUGAUUGACUUACCUAUUAAAGCUUAAAGCUUCAAACCUUAAAUUUUCUCUUUUCUCCCUUUCUUUCUUUCUUUUUCUCCCCUACUCUCUGUUUUGUUUCAUUCUGUUUCUAUUUCCUUUCUUUUGUUUCUUUAGUUUAUAUAAUAUAAUAUAAUAUAAUUAAAACAUAAAAUAUCUUUAUUAUAUAAUAAUAUAAUAAUAUACUAAACAUAAAAAAAAUCUUAAAUUUUCUUCACGGUAAACCGCCUCAAUUUAUACUUUUCGUAUAAUUUCCUUUUUAGUCAUUUUUAUUUUCUUUUAAUCUAUAAUUUAACUUUUACCCCUUAUUCAAUUUAGUCCUUUUUCUUAAUUACUCUUAAUUAAAUUAAAUUCACUUAAUUAAACUCUAAUUAACCACUCAUUUUACUUCAUAAAUAUUUUUAAUAAAUAUUUACGAAUCCGUUUUUCAGAAACAGAGACCCGAAAAUACACUUUUUCGGUAAUGGUAAAAUUCGGGUCGUUACAGAUAAAAAAGUACAUAGGUCCACAUGCAUGUGUUGGAGGUACAAUAUUUAGGGUGUUUGAAUAAUACUGUUAUUAUGUAAUAUUGCAUUAUUUAAUGUACUUCAUUGACAGGUGUUUCACAAGAUCAUCCUAAGACGGAUUCAUAUAUGUUAGCUAGCUUAAUACUACUGACGGUGAAGGCAGUUCUCAGGACUUCAGUGCCGGGCUUAAUUGCCAAUAUUGGUAGCCAAAUGAGGUAUACGCCCUUUUACUGCAAUGGUUGGAUUGUUAAGCAGAAGGCAUUAGAAAAGAUGCAUAGUGGGUUGGACGCUUCAUAUAAGGAAAUGUGGCAGUGGUUUCAAGUGUUAAAGAGAUACGUCGCAGGUUGCAUAACAGACCUUGAAACGACACCUCCAUACUACAACGACCAAUUACUCUAUGGAUGCAAAAUAUUAAACUAUCUAUUCUAGAGCUUUAAGCAAUGCCGAGAUACAUUUCUAUACUUCAAGCCAUUGGCUACCUUUAUGUUUGGUAGAUAUACAUAUCGGCUAUUGCUAGCUGUGACACGGGAUGAUAGUAAGAGAAUCCUUCCAAUUGCAUUUACAAUAACACCAGGGGAGUCAGCUGAUGAUUGGAUUUCUUUCUUUCUAGGUUAAGGAGGCAUGUCUGCCCUCAACCUGCUAUCUGUGUUAUAUCAGAUCGGGGCACUGGAAUACUAGUCGCAAUUGAGCGACAGGGAAGUCUAUGACAUCGCACACACCAUCAGUAUUGCUUAAGGCACUUUGCGUCCAACUACUACAAGCAAUUUCGAUCUACAACUGAAAAACUACAAGUGACCAACAUGGGUAUUUAAUCUCUAUUAAUAUAAUUUCGUUUGUAAUAUUGAAUUUAUUCUAAAUGGAAAAGUGGUUUAUAAUUUUUACUAUGAACUUAUAUUGGCAGGGUAUGAAAUAAGUAAGGACAGUUUUCAUUAGAUGUUGGCAGUUUUGCGUUCAGUUAACGUAGAAUACGCGAACUACCUCCGUAAUAUACCUUUCGAACAGUGGAUAGAAGCAUACGACGGCGGUCUACGAUAUGGUCAUAUGACCUAAAAUAUGGCUGAAUGAAUAAAUUAUGUUCUAAAAGAAAUGCGUCAUUUGCCGAUAACAUCAGUUGUGCAAGAGACAUGUUUUCGUUUAGCUGCACUAUUUCCAAAGCGACCAGCGAGUUAUGAAGGCCAAAUGCAGGGAGGCCAUUUAUGGUGCAAUAAGGUAUAGCAAGAAAUUAACAAGGUGAAUGCGCAGGCGAACACAAUGCACACAGUGUGUCACGAUCGAGACAACCUAUGAUUUCAUCGAGAAAACCGCAUUAAGGUAUUACUGGCGAAUUAAUAUCGUGUACACUUGAGAAAUAGGACUUGCAACUGUGGUAGGUUUGACGCACUUCGUUAUCCAUUUGCUCAUGUAAUUGCAGCUUGUCAGAAUAUCUGUCUCGAUCCAAUGAGCUAUGUCGACGAAGUGUAGAAAGUAGAAUACAUAUACAACGUGUGGAGACACAUAUUCCCAUCGGUCCCAGAUUAACAUAAGUGGUCGUCUGUAUUGCUUGCUCCGUUUAAGUUUUUAUCAUAUAAAGAAUUGCAUCGUAAACUAAAAGGUCGACCUUGCUCGACUAGAAUACGUAACAAUAUGGAUAUCUGAAAAACAGCCAACCAGCAGAAGUUGUACGGAUGGUGUAGGAACCCAGGCCAUACAAGUCGAUAAUGUCAAAAUCGAAAUAGCUAAUAGUUGUUAUAAUAAAACUAUGUUGCAUUAUUUAUAUUUUAUUAAAAAUAUAAAAAUAUUCAAAAUAUUGCCUUAUUUAAAAGAAUUUCUAUUUUAUUAAAAAUAUAAAAGUAAAUUACAAUUACUUUAUUCAAAACAACUGUUAUUUUAUUAAAUGAAACAAUAUAAAAAAGUUUGAACAAAUAUAUUGAAAAAAAUCAAUGUUGGUGCCGGCAGGAUUCAGUGCCAUAUGGGGGUUGUCGACGAUUACGCACUAGAUUCCUCAUUCUUCCAACUUCUGAUUGGGGUUGUGGUUGCUCCAGUGGGGAUUCUAGUUCCUCCGGCAGGGGAUCUGGUUGUGGGUGUUGGGAGGAUAACCCACCUUGAUAGAAUAGUGAAUGCUGAGGUGUUUGCAUCACCCACAGUGAAUGUGUUUGAAUCCCAUAAGGCGAUGGAGAUUGUUAAAAAAAAUAGCUCUCCAAUGGCAGCUCUGCAAUCCUUCAUGCGACGAUGGUUUAUAGAUCGGUGGUCCACUCGAAGUAAUUGAAAAUGGAGAUGAACCGAGUCAUGCAUUCCAACCUGCCAUAGGAUUGGAAAAAGGAAACAUAUAAGGGUUAGGAUACAUAAAAGGGCAAGGAUACGCACCUGGCAUAAUCUAAAAAGGCUGUGAUGUGGGUGUUGUCAGUUGAAGUGUUGGGCCCGGUGACUGUAUGGGCGCUAUUGAUGGGCCUGGUGAUUGUAUAGGAACUGUUGAUGGGCCCGAUGAUUGUGUUGGUGCUAUUUAUGAGCUCGCGUCGUUAUCCCUUAUUCUUAGAUUUUAAAGGCCCCGUUAUUCCCUUUCGACACGAAUUUGACGUCGCCUUUCAUCUUCCGACAGUAAAUAUGGCUUGCCAUGGAUCAUAAAUCAUGGCAUGAAUUUCGGCACGCACGCUAACUUUAGAACGAUGAUCGGUUCCCGAGUAAGUAUGUAAUCAUACCGAUUUUCCCACAUUUUAAUAUAUGCUAACCAAUAUCUCAGCCAAUCUGUAUGCAACUACUGUAAGUCAAUUUCGUGUUUAUCAUCAAGCACUUCAGGUGCCACGAGAGUCGGUUGUCAGAAUUCAAAUUGCUGCAAUACUCUAUUUGAUUGGUGCAUCUCUACGAUGGCAUAGCUGACCAAUGGAACCUUCAUAUGCCAACUGUUUAAAUUUUGAAAGUAUUCAUACAGAAUUACUGCUCAAAUUGCCAGAUCCUCGUAUGGUAUGCAUUGAAACUAUAUGAAUAUGAUAAAAAUAUUAGUUAUAUACAUAAUACCAAAUACUAAAUACUACAUACGAAUCGAUUAUUUUAUUAUGUAUAUCUAUUUUAUUUAAUACUUACUUGUGCUUCCGACCGUUGGUCUAAUAGAAGCUAUAUAUCUUCAAGAGAAGUAAGAAAGCCAACAUAACUUGCUGAACAGUUUCACCUAAUUAAAUAAAUUUUUAUCAUACUAUUAUAUUUUAAAUCUACGUAAUAAUUGUAAAAUCUAAUAUAAAAUUUACCUCGUUAUGGGUGGGAAUGUAUGUGGGUGGUCCAUUCGAUGACUUAAAAAUGGAAAGCAAACCGUGCCUAUGAUUGCAGUAGUGAUAGGCAACCUCUAAUUUUGGCUUUAUUCGGUCGCGUCGCCCUACACAUCUCCUGGUACAAUGUUGCCAACACGACAAACCCCUAACUAAAUUUACCAGCUGUCCUAAAAUCAACGAGUUUCAGUAGCAAUCUCAAAUGUAUGAGAUUUCAUGACAAGUCCGACAUCAGAUAACCUCCAAUUAUCUCAAGAAUGUAUGCCCGACUAUAUCAUAUUCUUUCUAGUUCAGUCGAAUCAUUAUCUGACUCCGAAAAUGUGUCUCGUAACCAGCCCAUCUCGAUCCGACCUCUGUUAAUAUUAUUCGGAAUAUCACCCAAAAGCUCAUAGCAUACGGCUCCCCAAUCAGUAGAUUGAGCAGACCUGAUGACUGCGUACCCAUCCAUCGGUAAUCCAAAUUGUAAAUGCACGUCUUCCACAGUGAUAGUACACUCUCCGCAUGAAAGAUAGAAUGUGUGCGUCUUGGGUCUCUACCUCUCUAUCAAUGCAGUGAUGAGUUUUGUGUUCAACUUGCACCCCCAGCCUAUCGCGGCCACGUGCCAAAAACCCACUUCCCGCAGGUUAUUCUAUAUCAACGGUGAUGGAGGACCAGACAUAUUACGGAUAUAGCAUUGCAAUACCCGAUUUACAGACUUUUAUAAAAAAAAUUAUAAAAUAAAAAUUAAUUAAAAUUGCAUAAAUAAAAAAAUCUUAAUUAAUAUUGAAAAAUUAAAUUUAACACUUACCAUUUUCAUUUGUUCGACAGAGAUGUGUUUAUUAUCAAGACGAAUUAAUUCUCCGGCCAUUACUAACACGAUAGAAUAAUUUUUGAUUUAAAAAAUUUAUUCAGAAAAAAUUAAAUAGAGCUUUUUUGCAAAAAUGAAAAGGAGCUUUGAGAGGAAUUUGAGAGAAAUUUGAGAGAAUAUUGAAAGGAUUGGAGUGUGAAAAAAGGAUCACAAAGCGGUUCCUCAUUUUGCUGACAUGUCACCUGACAUAGUGUUGACGUGGACGCAUUUUCGGGGAAUUAUCUUGUAAAUUGCCAAAAAAAUAGCUAUUGGAUUUUGAAUUUCUUUUCAAAACAAAUAUUUUAUUUGCAUCAAACAAAUAAUGGAUAAAGCGAAAAAUAUAUUUAAGAUUACUUGCUUUGCGUGGUAUAAACAACUUACAAAUUUUUUAAAGAUAAUAUCAUGAUAUUAUAUUAUCUUAUCAUCAAUUAAAAUAAUAUUUUAUAUCAUUUUGAUGUCAUUGUUAUUCGAACAUAAUUCGAUAUUGACUCUUCAAAGAAACAUUAGCACUGCUUGAAUGCUUUAUUCUUUUUUCUAUAAUUCUAUCUUAUUAUCAUUUAUUGCUAACAAUAUUCAUUUCUUACUAUAAUUUUUCUUAAAUGCCCUACGUGGUUACAUAUUAGAGGUGUGUAUGGGCCGGGCUACCCGGCCCGGCCCGAAGGUCCGGCCGAAAAAUGAUAGGAUUCAAGUAAAAAUAUAGGCCCGAAAUAUGAAUUUGGGCAAAAAAGAGGCCCGUUUAGAAAAGGGGACGGGAUUGAGUAAAAUUUUUUUGGCCCGGACUCGGCCCGAAUUAUAUACUAUAUAUAUAUUUUUUAUUUUUAAUCAUAUUUACAUUUUAUUUUCAAUUUUAAUAUAACCACUUUUUAUUAUAUUUUCAAUUUGUGUAUUGUUUUAAGAAUUGUUUUAGUCACACUUUUUAUUUGUUUCUUGUUUUAAUAUUUUUAAAUGUAUUUGAUUUAUUAUAUUUUAAAAUUUUUAUUUAAUGAAAUAAUCUAAAAAAAACUUAUAUGGGCCGGGUCGGGCCGGGCUCAAUAUUUUUAUUUCGGGUUGAGUUUGGACAAAUUUUUAAGCCCAUAUUUUGGUUGGGCCGAGAAAACUAACCUAAAAUUUUGUAUGGGCCCGGCCCAUGCACACCUCUAUUGCAUAUACCUAAUUAUUGAGUGUUACUUAUAAAUGGUAAUCAAGAUACUUAUAGUUUUAUUCAGUUAAUAAAUCUAUUUUUACAUAUAUAAUAUUAGCAUAACUUUUUUAAAAGAUAAAAUAAAAAUUAUAAUAGAGUCAAAAUUAAAGUAUAACUAUUUUUAACUAAUAAAUGUAAAUUAAUUUAUAAUUAUAAUUUAACUAUCACAAGUUUUUCUAUAUUUUAUACUUAUAAUUCUAUACAGGUAGUAAUUGUAUUAAGAAGUUAGCAAAAAACUAUUUUGAUAAAAAAAUUUAAAUAAAAAUUAUAAAUUUAAUUAUAAUUAUUUUUAAAUGUGUAAUUAUCACAACUUCUAUUUUAAGUUAACAUUUUUAAUUAAUAAUUCUUAAUUAAAUAUUAUAAAUAUUUUUAGAUAUCAAUUUAAUAAAACGAUGAAAAAUCAAGAAUAUUUUUGUUAGUUGAAAAAAAUAAUUUUAUAUAGAUUAAUAAAGAGUAAUUUAGUUAUGAUUUUUAAAUUUUGUAACAUUUAAUCAUCCUACUUUUUCAUAAAUUUAAUAAGAAAUAAUUUUUUAUUACAUGUUUAUUGUUUUAAUAUUACAAUCAUCAAUAUCAUUAAACAAUGAUGAUAUUUUUCUAAUAAACGGCACGUAACUAAAAGCGUAGGAGACUUGGCAUCCUGUAUUAAAUGGUAUUAAUAUACCCUUUAAAUAUUUUAAGAAUUUAAAUUUAAACUAUUUAUUUCGAAAAAUUUUAAUCUAAUUUAACUUUUUAAUAAAAUAAAAUGAAAUUUUAAAAUUUUAAAAAAAAUAAUUCAAUUAAAAUAUUUCAAGGUUAAAAUAUAAAUUUAUCAUUAUACUUUAUUUUCAUUGAUAUGUGUCAUUUAUAUUUUAAUAAUAUGAGCAAAAUUUUAUGCAAUUUAAUUCUAUUUCUAAGCUUUGAUUUUAUUUCAUAUUUGAAAUUUACAAUUAACUUUGAUUUUUCAAUUAAAUUUUACUUAAAUUUGAUAAAUUGAAAACUUGAUUUAAUAAAAAAAUUCAGAUAUUUUAUUUUAAUAGUUAACAAUGAUUUAACUUAUAAAUAUUAAAAAUUAAUAAAUUAACUUAGAAGUUGUAUUUAAUGAAUCGAAAUCUUGAAAUAAUAAGAAAAACAAGUUUAUUUUAUAAAAUAGCCAUUUUUAUUUAUUUUAAUAUUAUAUUAAUUAAAAUAUUAUUGAUAAAUAUUAAAGUAAAAUAUAAAAAUAAUUUAAUAAAUUUUGUCUUCAAAUUAUUUAAAAUUAAACUUGGCAAAAUUCAAUUAAAAUUUUAACUUUAAAAUAAAAAAUCAAAAUAGAGUUAAAGUUUAAUGAUAAAUUUAUCUUUAAUUUAUAAAAACAAUGAUAAAAUAUUAAUCAUAAUUUUCAAUUUCCACUGAAAAUAUAGUCACCAAAUUUCAUAUUUACCAAACAUUUUAAUAUAAAAUUAUAAGGUAUGGCAUUUAAAAAAAAUUAUUUCAUCUCAACCUAAAACAAAACUUUUAAUGUUGUGCUUACCAAUAAAUAGAGUGGAAAAGGGUGGGGAUAUAUAAAAUUCAACUUUAAAGCAAGUGUGAAGGGAGAAUAAUUUUUUAGGAGACGAAUGAAAUUUUAAUUUUUUAUAUAAUUUAUAUUUUUGUAAUUUUUAAAUAAUUAAAUUAAAUUUUUAUAAUUUUAGGGGCUCAAAGUAUAAUUUUAUUUUUAUUAUUUUAAAAUUUUAAAAAAAUUAGAGGAAGUAAUCGCCUCUGCCCUAAAGGAUGCUUCCAACCAUGUGAAAGAUAAUUUGCCUCAUUGAUGAUGCAAUGAAGAUGAUGGGUCAAAGAAAAAAGUGAUAAGCAACCAAAGAAAAGAAGGUCAAACAGCCUAAUUGGAGGUCCAAAUUAAUAUGGAGAUUAGGAUUUGGCAAAUUAGCAUGUUAGCCGAAAGCCGAACUGUGGUGGCCAUCUGCGUCAAAGAAAAUCAAAUAUGACUAGUCUAGAAAGAUUGUUUUGAAUGAGAAUAGGUUGAUGGUUUCGUGGUCAGUCGGGAAAAUUAAAGAAUGACAAAUAUUGACUAUUUUCUGAAAUAUUAUCAACUCAAAUCUUGAAACAUCUCUUACUUGGUAAUUUAGUGCUAAACCAAAAACUAAUUAAUGUUUGUAAAAAUAGAUUAGCGACUUAAAAUGGCAGUGUCUGUGUGAUAAUGGCGGGGAACCCAAUGUAGUAUUCACUGCCUCUCAGCCUCACAUCUUCAUUAUUUGCAUUCCCUUCCCAAUCUAUAAUAAUAAACGCAUCAACUAAAUCGAAUUUAAAAUCUAUCUUUACCAUCAUGUAUAGUAAUUCUACUUGAAGAUAAAUUAAAUUCCCAAAAAAUAAUUAAAAAAAAACACUUCAAAUUGCAAGUAAUUGGUGAUGUUAGCAAUGACACUAACAUCUCGAAGCUGUUUCUUAGGGUGUCAGAUACAUUAUUUACGGAAAUGGGUUGUUUUUUUAGGUCGAGCCUACCUGACAGGCGCGACCCAUUUUUUUAAUAAUAUAAUUUAUUUUUUUUAAAUAUUAUUAUUUUAUUAUAUUUUAAUAAUUUUUAAAUUCGGGUCAAAACCGGGUCGAGCCAGACCCGGAGGUGCGACCAGUCGCUCCUGCUGCAGAGGCGUGACCAGUCGCUCCUGCUGCAGAGGCGCGACUCCCCUACAGCCCGCCACGUGUCCCUGCCCCCCACCCGCCGGCCCUGCACCCUCCCAUGCCACCUGAGAGAAAAGAAAAAAAAAUUAUUAAGGCUCCGUUUGGCAACCAGGAAAACAUUUUCCGGAAAAUGUUUUCCUGGUUUUACGUUGUUUGGUAACCUGAAAACAUUUUACCUAUGGAAAACAUUUUCAGGAACACGGGUAAAAUUGCUUGCUUUUUAUGUAAAAUGUCUUACAGAUUUUUUUCCUGUAAGACAUUUUCCAAACUCAGUGCACCGUUCAUCUUCCUUCUUCUUCUUCUCAUCCAAGUAACUUUUCUCCUUCUUCUUCUUCUAUUCUCCCUAAGCUCUCACUUUCUCGAACAUUUCAAUACAAAGAAUCGAAUUUAUUAUUUCUUUUCACUUUUACCCAUCUCUGCGAUUUACGUUUUUUUUCUAAGGAUAGCUGGGAAUUUGUUUAAAGAUCUCGUGCGGCAAAGGAUUCCACUUCCAUAGCAUCCUCUAGGUAUUGGCAAUAUGCCAUUGUUUAUGUUAAUAAAAAUUAUCAAAUUUCAUUCAAUCUUAUGCUCCAUUCUUCAUUUGCCUUCUAAAAAUUCUAAGUUCUGUUCUCCAUUCUUGACAGUAGCUAAAAGCUUGAACUUCAAGCAUUUUUCCUUCAUAUUUUACCCGGGUAUAAUACGUUGCUGCUGGUGCUCUGUUUGAAAUUCUUACUUUACCCGGUUAAAGUGUGUUGAAACUCCAACAACUGUUUUAUAAUAAUUGAGUAUUAUUAUAUAUUUAAAAUGAUUUAUAAAUAAAUCAUUGCAAUACAUGUAAAAACAAUUUAAAAUAUAAAUUUAUUAAUACAGUAUUGGGCAAAUGCUCAAAAUUGGCCUUUAGCCAUGAAAACCGCAAUGUGGCAAAUUUCCCCUCACUUGGGGAGUGUCCAAGUAACUCGUAGCAAAGGCGAGCCGGCCUCGAGAUCGAACUUACGCCCGUGACCACAUUCCCGUCGAUAGGGAGCCCUAGCUGUACUGCAACGUCCUCUAAAGUUAUGGUGCACUCCCCGCACGGCAAAUGAAAUGUGUGCGUCUCCGGACGCCAUCGCUCGACUAAAGCAGAAAUUAAGUGAUAUCGUAGAUCAAAAGUCCGGAUCAAUGCUGCUGAUCCGAACCCCACUAACUCUAAGAACGGUAUUACAUGUUCAUCCGGCUGAAGCCCUACAUUAUAAAUACGACCCCUCAAUACGCGGUACUUGACCUGAGAUUAUUAUAUUUACGAAAUGGUUAAUACAAUAUAAUUUCAUUCAACAAAUAAUGUGACUAUCAAAUAAAAUUUUCAUUACGAUCUCAUUAAUGUUACUCGAUAUGUGACCCUUAUUUUCAUUAUCAAUCAACCAACCCAUUUGCUGCAAAUCUGCAAUUAAAAUUAUCAAAUAAAUAAAAAUUAUAAAUUUACAUUAUAUCAAAAUUACAUUAAAAUUACAUUAAAAUUUCUUACUCUCUUCAGAAUUAUUUAAUUCUAUUUCUUACUCUCUUUAGAUCGUUUAUUCAACAUCUUUCCAUAUUCAAAGUAACUUAUUUCUCAUAUACUCACUUUCAACUAGUCAAUUAUGCAUCUAUUCAACCGCAAAGCACUACAUUACUUCCAAUCAUAAAGCCAAAUGCAUUUUAACAUAUCAUUUAUAUUAAUGUGUUUAAUUCUUUAAUAUAUAUUAAUUCUCUUGUUAUGUGUUUUAUACAAGUUAAAAUAUAAGCAUAAUUUAUUAACAGUCUAUUUUACUCUUAAAAAUAUUUUAUUUUUUCCUUAAGUUUUGAUUAAAUUUUUAUAAAAUUUAAAAGAACUAUUUUUUUAACACUUUACAUAGGUAAAUUUAAUUAAUUUUAAAAGUUUGAAAUUAAAUUAAAUUAUAAUUUAAGAAUAUUUGAAAAGAUUAACUCUCAAGUUUAUACAUUUUACAUAGGUAUAAAUUUUUAUUUUAUUUUUUAGAAUGUAUUAGCCACUAUAUUUCUCACUUUUUGUUAACAAUGAAGUGAAUGCUAGUAAAGUUUUUUUAAAAUAAAAUACAAAAAAUAUUGAUUCCAAGUAAAUCCAGAAAUGGACAAUAACUGGCAAAAUAUUGAUUUUUUUAUAUAUUUAUUUAAAAGGGAGGCUGCCAUCAAGCUAUCAAAAUCGAGCAUCAAUGGCAAAAUAAUGGGGUUUUUUACCCAACUAGAUUAAAAAAAAUUAAAACACCAAAAUAGGAUGUUAGAUAAAAGUAAAACAAAAAUCAUGGACUUGAAAAUUCAACAAAAAAAAGUUUAAAUUAAAAAACAAAUAAAGCAAGACUUGACAAGUAGUAUUAAAAACAAAAACAAAAAUUAGCAAUUAAUAAACUAUAUUCAAGCACAAUAAUUACAUAACACUCUUAAAUUACUAAUAUUUUACUUUUUUUACAAAUGUAAUUUUUUUUAAUUUUAAAAUAAUUACAAAUACUAAAAAUUAUCACAUAACACUAAACUACUAACAUUUUAAUAUUAAAAUAAUUAUAAAAAAAUUACUAACAUUUUUCUUCUUUCUCCUCCUUCUCCUUCUUUUUCUUCUUCUUCUUCUUCUUUUCUCUCUUUGCUGCUGCAUUCAAAAAAUUGGGGGACCGGUGCUUAUAUGGUCCCCCAUUACAAAAUUUUAUUUUUUUCUCUCUGUCUCUACAGGUGGCAUGGGGGGUGGGGGGUAGGGACACGUGGCGGGCUGCAGGGGAGUCGCGCCUCUGCAGCAGGAGCGACUGGUCGCGCCUCUGGGUCUGGCUCGACCCGGUUUUGACCCGACUGAAUUUUAAAAAUUUAAAAAUUAUUAAAAUAUAAUAAAAUAAUAAUAUUUAAAAAAAAUUAUAUUAUUAAAAAAAUGAGUCGCGCCUGUCAGGUAGGCUCGAUAAAAAAAAACAACCUAUUUUUGUAAAUAAUGUAUCUGACACCCUAUUUUAGUAUUUUAAAAUUUUUUUUAACUCAAUUGGAAACCCUGUUUCUUAGUUUGGUUGAUGGCCAGUUUCCUGUUGGGACUCUUCGACAAGACGGACAAGUGCCAUCGUAGGAAGGGAAAAGGACCACUAUUUAUUGCUCAAUUUGACUUGCUUUCCUCUCUAUUUAUAGCUUUUUGCUUUUUCUAUAAUUACUUUUUCACUUUGAAAUUUCCUUCGUUUAUUAUAAAAUUUGGAUACAACCAAAUAUAUUUCAAUUACAUUUAUAUUAAUAUAAGUAUUAAAAUUAAUAAUUAUAUUCAAUAACUUAAUUAAACUAAUUAAAAUUAUUAAUUAAUAUAAUUGACAUAAUUACAUUUAUAUUCAAUUACUUCAUAAAGUAACAUUAUUUAAAAUAAUAACUAAUUGACAUAAUUAACAUAUAUAAAUUAUUUUAAUCAUUCAAAUAUAAUACUAAUAAAAAUAUAUUUUAAUCAUUAUUAAAUUAUUUGUACAAACUAUAAAAAAUUGAGAAAAUGUAAAUUAAAUUCUUCACUAUUCAAAUUAUUCCUUUUUUAUUAGUCAAUAAUUUGACUUCAUAAAUACAAUUAUAAUACAUUAGAUGCAUUAUUCAUAAAAUUUUAUAUAUUAAAUAUGGAGUUACCUUUUUUUUUUGAAACAAAGUAAUAUAUCUUUUAGUUAAUGGAAACAUAAUAAUUUAAACAAAUUAUUUUUAUCUAAUAACUAUAAAGUGGUUUAAUAUAAAAUUUAUUUUUAUUAUUAUAUAAAUUCAUUUAAUAAUUUUUUAAAAAUAGAAUCAAAAUUUUUAUCUAGAUAAAAAAUCUUAUUAAAUCAAUUGGUUUAGUAAAAUUAAAAUUAUUGUGGCAAAACUUAUAAAUAAUAAAAGAAAACAUGGUUUUGUUUUUGCCAUCUGCCCCUCGAAUCUUACUAUAAAUAAAUUAAUUAGCUAAACGUAUGGCUGAAUUCAUUGGUUGAGUUGGCAUGAAUAUGAUAUUGAUUGGUUGAUGGAUAUAUCCAAUUUAAAAUUUGAAUGAACAAGGUAUGUGUUUCUUAGUUGAUUGAAUGAUUUAUAUAUUGAUGCGCAUUUUUCUUGAAGAGAAAACAAAAAUAUUUUUAUUUCCACUAUAGUUUUCUCCACCCAAAGAAGCAAUGCAGCUGAAGGAUGAUAUUUACUAGUUUAAAUAUUAAAGGAAAAAAUUAAUUAAGAGUUAGUCUGUACCGGAUUCGAAGGUUGAGAUAAAUAAUAAUAGUGCCAUCCCUGGAUUUUGCAAAUCAACUUUGAAAAUACUAGAAUCCUUAUUCAGUUUUUUGCCAAUCUGUUGGUGGUUUGGUCACAUAGGCGUAACAAAGAAACGCAGACAUAAUUUUAAAUUCCGAAACGUUGAAAGCAAUUUUAGGAAGCAGUAAGUUAACCAACGUUCAUUGUGGGCCUUUUUACUUAUAUAAUAUACAAAAAUAUAAAAACAUUUAAAAUGGUAUACCACCCCGAUUAAUUACAAGAAUGGAAUAGUAGAGGGUGGUGCAUUUAAAUUCUAACACAAACAACUGAUAAAUUUAAAAGAAAAAUAUAAAACAUUUUUUCAAUGGUGCAACAUUUUUUAUAAGCAGCACCAAAGUAUUUUUUCAUAACGAUGCCUAUGAAAAAUGCAGCAUCAAUGAGUUUAAGUGGUGGUGCUCAUGAGAAAUGCAACACCAACCGUUAUCCUAUUGUUUAGAGGAAUUAGAUAAAUUCACGUAGUAACUAAUCAUUAAAUUUAUAUAAUUAUCACUAUAAUUCAUAAAGAAUCAUUGUGCCUGUUCAAAAGUUAAGAAACUAAAAUUCCUAAUGAUUGAUGUAUAUAUAAUAUAACCCCACUACAUGGUUAAAGUUUUUUAACUGACCCACACGCAAAUAGCAUCUAAUAUUGUUGUAUAUAUUACUGAAAAUUUGAAGACCAAAACUACUUUUUCUAUACAUACAGAAACAAAUUCCCUUCGAUGUAAGCUUCUCAAAGCAUUGCUCCACGUUUACUAUUGUUUUAGCACUGCAUUCAAGAAACAUGAAUCUAAUAUGAUAACAAUUAGUGCCGCCUUUCUCAUGGACAUCUUAAAUUCAUUGGUAUAGUCUUUCCCAUGAGCACUAUCAUCAUCUAAACUCAUAUAUAACUCAUGUACUGGAAUCGUAUGAGAAAAAUAUUUUGACACCGUUUAUAAUAAGAUUACACCAUUAAAAAAUUAUUCUUUUAAACUGUUAACUAUUCGUAUCAAAAUUUAGUGGUGGUGUCGCCUAUACAUUACUCAAACACUCCAUCCCCAUAAUUAAUCGGGAUGGUGUAUCAUUUUAGUUAUAUUUAUAUAUUUUUAUAUUACAUAUGUAAAAAAAAGCCUUGAUUGUAUUUGACAAAAUGUAAAAUAAUGCGUAUAGAUUAAAAUUUUAUUAUUCUAAACAUGUCAGAUGUGAGUACAAACGACUAAUAAUACAUCCAAAAGAAAUAAUGAUUAUGAAGCUGAUGACAUCAGUGACAACAGAAAUUUCAACACCUUCCCCUCCCUUUCUCUGCUUUGACCAUCCAUUCCCUCUAUUUAUAUUCUUUCUGCCUUCCCCAAUUUCCUCUGCACGCCCAGACGAAAAUGGUAUCUUAUUUAUCCUUUCUUUUGCCUUUCGCUCCAUUUUUUGUCACCUUUUUGCUUUUUUUUCUUUUAGUAGAACAAAUCUCUUACUUGCGUAAAAAGCGAAAUGUCCCUGGCCCCAAUAUCAUCUUGCCUUUUUUGGGCAACGCCAUUUCAUUAAUCACAAAACCAACAAGCUUCUGGGAAGUUCAAGCUGAUUUGACUGCUUCUCUUGGAUUUUCUGUUAAUUAUAUCAUCGGUCGCUUCAUCGUCUUUAUCCGAAACACCGAGCUUUCCCACCUUAUCUUCGCUAACGUCCGGCCCGAUGCUUUUUUACUUGUGGGACACCCCUUUGGUAAAAAGCUUUUCGGUGAACAUAACAUGAUUUAUAUGUUCGGACAGGAUCACAAAGAUCUUCGCCGUCAAAUCGCUCCUAACUUCACUCCUAGGGCUCUCUCUACCUAUACUGCAUUGCAACAGAUUAUCAUUCUCCAACACUUAAGGUCGUGGGAGCGUCUUUCCUCGGAAUCGCCGGGGAAGCCGAUUUCUCUCCGCCUAUUAGCUCGCGACAUGAAUCUCGAAACCUCUCAAACUGUUUUCGUGGGCAG